rnacentral:lncRNA from 1 species
AAGGUGAAGGAGAUCAAGAACGGCCGUCUUGCCAUGUUCUCCAUGUUUGGCUUUUUUGUGCAGGCUAUCGUCACCGGCAAAGGCCCACUAGAGAACCUCGCUGACCAUAUCACCGACCCCGUCAACAACAAUGCGUGGGCAUUUGCCACCAACUUCGUGCCCGGCAAGUAAGACACCUACUAGGGUUGACUUGAGGGCUGGCGGGGUGGUCUGAUAUGUACUACCAUCAUGUAAAUUACAAGAAUCCGUGCAAAAGCAUUGUUUGAUCUGUCAACAUUUAUUCUCAUGUCCUGUAUUUAGCUACUUGUUGUAGUUGCACUCUAUACUUCACUAGACAACGACUUGUGCACUGGUAUUGUUUGAUUUAUCAACAUUCAUUCUCAUGUCCUGUAUUUAGCUACUUGUUGUGGUUGCACUCUACUUUACUAGACAACGACUUGUGCACUGGUAAUGUCGGCUGUCAGUAAAUAUGUAGUGCUCAAAUUUGGUACGUAUAUGGUUGGGAGCUUAUUUAGGUUCGGUCAAAAUACUUGCCAAAUAUCAACCAAUAGGAAUAACCUCAAUGCGGGUCGCGGAAAUUUGGUCCAACAAGAGUAUGUGUUUCGGUGUUGUUUCCUUUUGUUUGCAUGUAAUACUAACUUCGCGAUAAUAAACGCUUCCAUUAACGUCAUCAGGAAAAUAAAGAAUACAAUCGCCAAGAGGUUAAAUGCACUUGUUUAUAGUUACAAUUGAUUAACAAGGAGUUGAGAAUUGUAAUAGAUAUUAUUACCGUAAAAAUUGUGGUAUGCACUGGUGAGACUCUUUUCAUGUGUCCGAGUCAAACACAUCUCCUCUGACUCAACCCUAGGCCUCAUCGAUGUUUCUCUAGGAGCUCCAGUGCCCCUUCCCCCCCUUCAGUUUAGCCAAGUGAGAGUGGAUGGAGUACAUGCCCGUGGGGAGGGCUGUAUGGGUUAGGGGUCCUUGGCAAAUGACAGACUUACCCUUGAGAUAGUAGGUGGGAAAUGUGGUGGAGCUAAUCUUUGGUCCAUGGGUCCAUGGGUCCAUGGUGAGCUAGGAAGGGAGGGAGUCCAUAGUCAAUGGUGGACCAUUCCAUCUGAUCUCUCCAUCAUGUUAGAGCAUCUACAACCCGUCUUGGUAAAUCUGACCCCCUAUACGUCCGCGGAUACAUCCGGACGGGUCCUUAUAUUUCGCUCCUGGCAUCCACAUACCUCAAAUCCAUGCAAAUCCAUGCACGUCGACCAUACAAGUCAAUGCCACACGAAAAUAACAAAUGUUGGUACUGAGCAUAGAUAGUGUUUACAUCAAUUUAUCUUAAGUGCACAACUCAAACAUUAGCUCCUUGGUUUCCAUUGUGGAUCCACAUGUGCUCCACAAGAUCAUUGAGUAGCUGCGUGUGCACCUGAUAAUCUCAAAAAUUCCGAUGCAUAUGUAGAAAGUUGAUAAGCUGAGCUGCAUCUUGAUCCUCUUGGGCUACACCAUCACCCUCAUCCUCGACAAUCAUAACAUGUCAUCAGCUGCCACAAAGUUUUUGAUUCCCACAACAUUGCACUGCUAUGCACAAUUCCCCAACGAUCUUGAAGCACACCAAAUGCCCUCUCCACAUCCUUCCUAGCCCCUUCCUGCAUUGUUGCAAAGUGGCUCUAUUUAUUGCCAUGCGGUUCAGAUAUGGUCUUCACAAACUCCGCCCACCGAGGAUAGAUACCAUCGGCAAGAUAGUAUCCCAUGUUGUACUCUCCAUCAUUGACGGUGUAGUUGUACGGUGGUGAUUCCCCGUUGCAAAGCCUCUUGAACACCAGGGACCGUUGAAGCACGUUGAUGUCGUUGUGAGAACCCAACAUUUGAAAGAAGGCAUGUCAAAUCCAUAAAUCAUGUGAUGCCACCACUUCUAUUAUGAUGGUGGCCUCUUUUGUGUGAUACAUUCCCCGCGAACCUUUGGGGCAGUUCUUCCAUUGCCAACGCAUGCAAUCAAUUGAUCCGAGCAUUCUUGGAAACCCCCUUGCCUCACCAAUAGCCAACAACUUCUCCGUGUCAUGGGCAUUUGCUUCUCUGAGAUACUCAAGUCCAAACACCUCCACCAUGGCGCGGGAAAACUUGACAAUAGUCUUCAAGCAUGUGCCCCCAUCCUGACCAUCUCACCAACGACAUCUGCAGCAGCACCUAGUGCAAGCAUCCUCGGAGCAGCCGUGCAUUUCUGCUUGGCAGAGAAAGAGAGUUGUGCGAAGCAAUCCCUUGUGAGCUUGAAGUAGUCGUCAUGUGCCUCCACUCCGUCCACAAUGCGCAAAAAUAAUGGUUUUCGCAUGCAAAAACAUCGAAGAAACCAUGGAUCAUCUGGGAAAGUAGGGUCGGGAGGAAAGUAGUCCUUGUGCAGUAGCUUUGCUCCGGACACCCUAUCCCGGUUGAUCACUCGUCUCCCUUUGAUUGGGCCCUUGAAGUUGAGAAUAUGCUCCACUUUCCGGACCAUUUCCUCUUGCAUGCUCAUGAGCAUGAUCAUGUCCACUUCUUUGUCCGAAUCCGAGGAAUCGAAGAACUCAUCAUGAAUCAUUUCAUCAAGCUCUGUCGGUCCAUACUCCGCGUACGAUGAAGCAUCGGAAUGCAUCGUUUUCCCUAAUAAAAUCACAAAAAAUCCGGCCAGACAAUGUGUCGAACACAUCAAGCGCAAGGCGGAGUCAGAGAGUUGCCGGGUGUACCGCGGUGGCUUCCGGGCCAGCGAAGAUGUCCCACGCGAUGAAGGACGGGACAGAGGACUGCUCUGCUGGAGCUAGCGGCCCAGAGACUAGGAACGACUGUGGAGCACGCGUGACGGUGGAUCUGCAAGACGGACGACGCAGAGGAGGAAGAAGAGAGGAGAGAGCAAAUGGAUCCGGUAGGUUGGGGGGGAUUUGGUGCAAUUUGCGGUGGGAUUGGGCUAUGGGGUUCGACGUGGCGGGCAUGCCCAGGAGCGCCCCGACGCUCCCAUAUCCGCCCAAUAUUUGGGCUGGAUAUGAGGGGUGUUGGUCAGUCCGGGUGUUUGAGGUCCGUUUGAGGCACCCGUUGUUAGAUGUGUAUAGCCUCUGUCUGGUAUAUCCCCAUUGUAUAAGGGGUUGCCCGCACUUUGUCACACAUGUAUAUGUAAUGGCCUUUGGCCCUCAGUAAAGUCAGUUGCUCACUUAUCCAACAUGGUAUCAGUUGCGAGGUUCCUCUUCCUCUUCCCGCACGCUGCAGCUCUGUGCCUAGCCUUCCUCGUCGCCGGCCACCUCUUUCCCCGUCCCCGGCCACCUUCUCCGCCCCCGACAGCAGCCUGCUGAUGCUCUGCCCGCACUCGCGCCUAAGGCUGUGACUAGGGACGCGCCCUGACCGUGCUCUGCCUGCCCCCGGCUGCGCCAUCCCCGCUCGGCCAAGCCGCUCCUUCUGCGCGCCCUACCUGCUCCGCCCGACCGUGCCCCCACCGUGACCCGGCCGCGCCAUCUCUGCCCGGUCGCGCCCCGGCCGCGCCCUCGUCUGCUGCGCCAGCCACAUCUGCCUCUGGCUGGCAGCCGCUGCUCCUUCAGCUGCCGCUGGUGCUGCCCCGGGCUGGCCCUUCUCCUGGGCUCCCCUUCCUCUCGAUUCCCCACUCCACUCGAGGUUGCAUCGGGCUUGAGUGAGUCUCUCAGCCCCGAUCCAGAUCGGGGAGAGUUGACCAAAAGAAGAGAUUCCUCAUGUCUUCUUCGGGCUAUGUUGUUGUUCCUCGGUGCUCAGUGAUCUUUGAUGGCACCAACUACACUGAGUUUGUGGGGUUCAUGUGCAUCCAUAUGCGUGGUCUUCUUUUGUGGGGUGUUGAGGGAGUCCUAGAUAAGGGGGUAUCCGGACAACCGGACUAUAUACUUUGGCCGGACUGUUGGAUUAGGAAGAUACAAGAUUGAAGACUUUGUCCCAUGUCCGGAUGGGACUCUCCUUUGCGUGGAAGGCAAGCUUGGCGAUUCGGAUGAUAGAUCUCCUUCCCUGUAACCGACUCUGUGUAACCCUAGCCUCCUCCGGUGUCUAUAUAAACCAGAGGGUUUAGUCCGUAGGACAAGACAAUCAUAAUCAUAGGCUAGCUUCUAGGGUUUAGCCUCUACGAUCUCGUGGUAGAUCAACUCUUGUAAUACUCAUAUAAUCAAGAUCAAUCAAGCAGGAAGUAGGGUAUUACCUCCAUCGAGAGGGCCUGAACCUGGGUAAACAUCAUGUCCCCAGUCUCCUAUUACCAUUAGCCUUAGACGCACAGUUCGGGACCCCCUACCCGAGAUCCGCCAGUUUUGACACCGACAUUGGUGCUUUCAUUGAGAGUUCCGCUGUGUUGUCGCGAUAAGGCUUGAUGGCUCAUCUCGUUGUCAAGGAAAACAUCACCUCUGGGGGAGCCCUGGCCCUCGGCCAAACUCUCCGGCUGGGCGGCUUCAUCGUAACCGCCCGAUCGGCUGUCGCGCCGACGAUGACUUCUCAGGUCAUCAAAAACAGCCUCCACGUCUAUUCGGGAGUCGCCGAACAUAUGGAUCCAAUGGAGCUCUCCUCUCUUAAUGAGCUCUUGGAUCGCAUCAGCGCCCUGGGCGUCGCUACAGACUAUGAUUGGAUCGGGCUUAAACCCGACCAAAGGGAAAUUUACUCUCCGCUGGUCACCCAUGAGAUAGCGGUAGUGGAAGAGCAUCAUACGAAUUCUCCCUAUACUUUUAGGACGAACUAUGUUCGGAUUUCUGAGCUCUCCAAGCCAGACACCCGCUCACGGGAGGACAUGACCCAAGCCCCGAAUUCAGAAUCGGGCGGCGGGCCGAAGAAAUUGGGCAACAUUCCGAAACCCGAGCCAUUAAGCUCGGAAGCUUCUUCGCCCCUGGGUCAGGAUUCGGAUUCAAAUCCGCCCACCCACCCAGAUUUAUUCAAUCUUUCGAAUAUCAGACAAGAGCCCCAAGAGACGGUACAUCAUCACUGGGCCAGAUUCCUCCUUGUGAUAAACAGGGUCAAGGACUGUCGCGAGGUAGACGCAAUCUCCCUCUUUUGCAAAAAUUGCAUGGACAAAGGGAUCCUCAACGCUAUAAGUCGCCGUGACAUAGCACGCUUCGCCGACUUAGCGGCCAUAGUGCAAAAAUACUGCGCAAUGGAGAGCGCCUGGAAAACCCAAACAAAUUUCUGGGAUAAUCCGGCUCUCAUUAAACCCUUCGUCCGAACUAAAAGGGAAAACUCUCGUAAGUUACCCGAUUCAAUUGCCAAAAAACCAAAGCCCGAUGCAAGGUGCGGAACCGUAUUGGAGAAAUGGCUCAAUGAGGCCAUGCAAAAUUCACAGCACACCAGAUACCAUGCCAACACAUAGCCUUAGAGCCUGUUGGAUACUCCGGCAGGUUGCAAAGAGUGGCGAGGAUCUCCUAAUAAACCAUACGAUAGAGCAACAUCCCGCCGGAAACAACAAUACAGUAUUGACAGUCUUCGAGACUUUCGCCUCAAAUAAUAGGCGCAAGCGAGCUCAGCGCAGUCUCGCCGAAGUUUGCCAUGUGGCAACAAUAAAUCCAUGGAACGACAUGGCUAUAACUUACAAUGCCAUUGACGAACCUCAAUUCCGAACAGUCCGGGCACCAGCCGCUUUGGUCCUUAGUCCAAUCGUGGACGGCUUUCGGCUCACUAAAGUGCUCAUGGACGGCAGAAGUGGACUAAACCCCAUCUACGAAGAAACCCUCAACAAGAUGGAAAUUGACAAGAGCCGCAUUGAGCAAGGCAGCACGACCUUCAAGGGAAUCAUCCCCAGUCGGGAAGCGCGAUGUGCAGGGAAAAUCACACUGGAUGUGGUAUUCGGCAUGCCGGAGAAUUACAGGUCCGAAGAAAUUACAUUCCAAGUGGCCCCGUUCAGUAGCGGAUACCACGCCCUCUUAGGGCGGGACGCAUUCAGAAGCUUCCAGGCUAUACCCCAUUACGGGUACAUGAAGCUCAAAAUGCCUGGGCCCAAUGGAAUCAUCACUCUAGCUAGUGAUCCAGACGUCGCACUCCGCGCCGAAAAUAAAACUGCCACACUAGCCCUGGAGGCAUUAUCAGAAGCCCUCGCGGCCGAAGAGCUGACAACGCUGCAUGCCACAGUGCACAGAGACGACGUGAUACUCGACAAGCGACCCAAGUCCACCUCUUUCAAACCCACGGACGAGAUAGUCAAAUUCCAGGUCCACCCAACGGACCCUACAAAGACAGCUUCCAUUGGGACACAGUUGAACCCCACAAUAGACACCGCACUACGAGAUUUCCUGCGUGAGAAUUGGGAUAUUUUUGCCUGGCAUCCUUUAGACAUGCCGGGCAUCCCAUGCAGGCUGGCCGAACACAGCCUAAAUAUACUGAAAGGAUACAAGCCAGUCAAGCAGACUCUUAGGCGCUUCUCAGAACCUAAGCGGCAAGCCAUGGGAGAAGAGCUAGCCAAGCUACUCGAGCCGGAUUCAUUAGAGACAUCAAACAUCCGGAUUGGCUAGCAAACUUGGUAAUGGUACCAAAGAAAGAUAAAUCCUGGCGCCUAUGUGUCGAUUUCAAGGACCUCAAUAAGGCUUGCCCUAAGGAUCCCUUCCCCCUCCCCCGCAUUGAUCAAAUCAUCGACGCCACCGCAGGACACGACUCAUUAUGUUUCCUCGACGCAUACUCCGGAUACCAUCGAAUCAAGAUGGCGGAGACCGACCAAGCCGCAACGGCCUUCAUUACGCCAUAUGGCCCCUUCUGUUUCAACACCAUGCCUUUCGGGCUCAAAAACGCCGGCGCAACCUAUCAACGCAUGAUUCAGACAUGCCUGGAAAAACAAAUCGGCAAAACAGUAGAGGCUUAUGUACAUGACAUGGUCAUCAAAACAAGACACGUUGAAACUUUAAUAGAUGACUUGAGGCUCAUGUUCGACAAUCUUCGAACAUACGACAUCAAGCUCAACCCAGAGAAAUGUGUCUUUGGUGUACCCUCUGGGAAGUUGCUCGGCUUCAUCGUUUCCAAUAGAGGAAUUGAAGCAAAUCCGGCAAAAAUCCAAGCUCUAUCACAGUUGGCUAUCCCAACAGACCUCAAGCAGAUCCAGAAACUAACUGGAUGUGUGGCUGCCUUAAGCCGCUUUAUCUCCCGAUUAGGAGAAAAGGCACUACCCCUUUAUCUCCUUCUUCGACGCACCGAACACUUCGAGUGGACGGAUGCAGCCACGGCCGGACUGGAAGAAAUAAAGGCACUCUUGGCCACCAAUCCAGUCCUGACCGCGCCAAAUACUGGCGAACCCAUGCUAUUAUACAUAGCUGCAACACACCAAGUUGUAAGCGCAGUGCUCGUCAUCGAACGAGAAGCAGACAGACACAAGUUCCUACUCCAAAAGCCGGUAUAUUACGUGUCCACUGUCCUCACUCCAUGCAAAUCUCAGUACCCACACUAUCAAAAGAUAGCGUACAUGGUCUUCAUGGCAUCCCGGAAGCUAGGACACUACUUCCAAGAGUGUUCGAUUACGGUGGCCUCCGAAGUACCACUCAAUGAUAUAAUAAACAACUGCGACGCAACGGGCCGAAUUGCUAAAUGGGCUAUCGAGCUCCUUCCGUUCGACAUAACAUACAAACCACGGCGGGCCAUUAAGUCGCAAGUACUGGCUGACUUUGUCGUCGAAUGGACAGAAGCCGAACUCCCUAAAGAGUACGGCACAUACUCCAAUUGGAUCAUGCACUUCGACGACUGUAAAAUGAUGGCCGGAUUAGGAGCGGGUGUUGUCCUGACAUCCCCCACCAGAGACACGGUCCAAUACGUACUCCAAAUAUUAUACACAAACUCCAACAAUGCAGCCGAAUACGAGGCUCUGUUGCAUGGCCUUUGGAUGGCAGUCUCCAUGGGCAUACAAUGCCUCGAAGUGCGCGGGGACUCGAACCUCGCAAUAUCUCAGAUAAAUGGAGACUUUGAUGCCAAGGAUCUGAAAAUGGUGGCUUAUCGUAAUGCCGUCCUCAAAAUGUCAUCUCGGUUCGAGGGGCUCAAAUUCCACCAUGUGGUCAGAGAAAAUAACCAAGCGGUGGAUAUCCUCGCCCACAUCAGUGCUAAACGCGACCCCGUCCCACCUAAUAUCUUCUUAGAAAGGCUGUUCAAGCCGUCCAUGGUAUGGGAAGGGGAGUCCGGCAAUACUAGUCCAACUCCGAAUACAACCCCAGAUUCCGAACCAUCUGACGUGAUCGGAGGCUCUGCCACCGAAAUAACACCUUUGGCCCACGAAAUAAUGGUUGUCAUCGCCCCGUGGACCGAGCCCUUCUUAGCCUACCUAAAUAGGCAAGAGCUCCAUGAGGACCAAAAUGAGGAACAUUGUAUUGUGCGACGUUCUAAAGCCUACAAAGUCCAUGAAGGAGAGCUCUACAAGAAAAGCACUACCGGAGUGCUCCAAAGAUGCAUCUCCGAAGAGGAAGGGCGGCAACUCUUAGCCGAAAUCCAUUUCGGACUCGGCGGGCACCACGCUGCAGCUCGGGCACUUGUAAGCAAGGCCUUCCGUAUAGGUUUGUACUGGCCGACAGCCUGGGCAGAUGCACAGGACCUUGUCCAACAUUGCGUUGGUUGCCAACUCUUCGCCUGCCCCCUACCGCUCUCCAAACAAUCCCCAUAACUUGGCCCUUCGCGGUCUGGGGGCUGGAUAUGGUCGGACUCCUUAUAAGGGGAAGCCAUAAGAAAAAAAUACUUAUUGGUCAUGGUGGACAAGUUCACAAAAUGGAUAGAAGUCAAACCAGUUAAAACGGCCGAAUCCGGACCAGUGGUAGACUUCAUAUCAGGGGUCGUACACCGUUACGGUGUCCCCCACAGCAUCAUCACCGACAACGGCUCAAAUUUCACAGCCGAUGAGGUGAAAACUUGGUGCGGCAACAUGGGCAUCAAGCUCGAUUACGCCUCUGUCUAUCACCCCCAAACAAACAGUCAAGUCGAACAUGCAAAUGGUCUCAUCAUGAGCGGCAUCAAACCCAGAUUAGUGCGAUCCUUGAAGGAAUCAGACACUCAUUGGGUCAAGGAACUCGACUCUGUACUCUGGGGGCUGCGGACCACGCCGAAUCGUACCACCGGAUACACACCAUUUUUUAUGGUGUACGACGCAGAAGUAGUGCUACUCUGCGACAUAAUCCAUGACUCACCUCGCGUGCGCAUGUACGAAGAGAAGGAAGCCGAACUAGAUUGGCAGGACAACUUAGAUGCUCUGGAGGAGGAGCGUGACAUUGCAAAAGCCCGUUCCGCAUUCUAUCAGCAACAGGCUCGAAGAUAUCAAAGCAGAGAAGUACGGGCCAAAACUUAUAACAUUGGCGAACUAUUUCUACGCUUCCCGGAGAAGAAUAAGGACAAGCUCAAACCCAAGCGGGAGGGUCCCUUCAUCGUUGAUAAGGUUCUCACCGGAGGAGCGUACCGUCUGCGUAAUGCAUCUGAUAACAGACUCGAGCCGAACCAUGGAACGCGGCCAGACUCCAAAGAUUCUACGCCUAGUGCCGAACUCAGUGUUCAUCUCCUUACCUCCGCUUCUUCAAUUAUGUUCUCCUUCUUCCUUUCUCGGCCUCUUUUCUUUAUAACAUACAACCUUAAAAACUGUACAGAUGCUUCAAUUGCUCCGGCCGCACUAUGCGUGCGCUCUAUACCUGGGGGCUUCCUAUACGGAAGCUAAAUACAACUACUUUAAUGGCUUCCUGCCAGCCACAUAUGCGUUUCCUUUCCAUAUGUGCCUUUUCUUCACCAUUAUAUGCAUCGAUAUGACUUAAGUUUUGGCCAUGCUGGGUUGCUGGCUCUUGUGUUUAUGCCCUACGUUCCCGUUAAUUCGGCUAGGGCAUAAGGGGAGCACCUCUGCGAUUGUUACUGCCAAUUGAGUCGGAUGUGUACCUCAGACUGGGUGAAGCCAAAACCUAGAGUUCUUAAGGGAAUAUUCGGUCCGUGAACAAAAGAUGUUUUCGUUCAUUACAAUGUAAAUCCCCAGAUGUUUUAUUUCCUGCGCUUCUGUUCCCAGUUCGGACAUGCACAUCGAUGCAUGCACACCCAGUGAAAGGAACCCCUAACGAAACUAUUCUCGCUGGAAGAUGUUUCUUACUAUCCAUGUAAUAUAACAUAACUAGUUGGGUACUUGUCUGUUCACGCACUUAUGACCCCUACGCCUGGUUUCCAUGCAUAACCCGGUUUGCAUAACUGUGCGGGUAUUCGGAUACACUUCGGACUGUCGGGUCCGGAGGCUGAAGCGAAAAGGUCCGCCAUGACAAAUGAUUUUUAAUCCGGCUAGGGACUACAUAGGUCCAUUUAAUUACAUAGUCACUUGGACUGGCUAUAGUCUUCCUCUAUACCAUCCAACAGGUUGCUAACCUACAAUCCUAUUGGGAAUACUUUGCGGCUAACGCCACUUGGUCAUAUACCAGACUUACGGGUAUCUCUUGCCCAUCUGACCCCACUGGUCCAACUUCGGCCAUAUGGUUGGGUCAGCCUUAGCGUAUCGCGUCUUCACCAUGGCCCAAGCUUCCCUUGCACCUUGUCGACAAGCUGAUAUCUUCCAUAAUCGGAAGCGCCGGCGUGCUCCUUUUGAGCAUCUCCAGAAGCUCGCUCAUGCCUCCUGGCAAGGAGGAAGACGGCCACAAGACCUGGGCAAUGCCCUGCAUCACCUGCCGAGCUUGCUCGUGCAGUUGUGAAAGAUCUUGCAACAUAUCGCCUGCGGAUCCGGGCAUCUCCUCUUCAGGACGGCCCGUCAGCAUACUUACAGACAUAACUUUGUCAAUACGCUUCUUCGCCGGACUAUACUACAGUUUGUUUAAAGCACUUACUAUAAAUGCCGCGUCGAAGCCUCCUGUUCUCCUUCACGGAGUCCGCAAGCUGAGCCCGAACAUCUUUUAAUUCGAUGCUUAGUCGGAUAUUAGCAUCUUGGAGAUCAUUUUUAUCUUGAAUAGCAUGCGUCAGCACGCGCUCGCCCGCCUUUAGCUGACUCCGCAGAUGGGGCUCAUUAUGCCCCACAAUCUUCGGAUUGUCUCCGGGAUUGUCUACAGAAUCUUUUGUUAGAUUUCUAAACCAUGCCUAAUAAGUAAACUGGUAUACAUCCUAACAUAUUCCGUUAUCAAGGCAAGUAUUACCAGAAGAGGCCCUUUUUGAUUCCUAUUGUUUGGCAACAGCGGCCUUUAGCUGGGUCUUACAUUCCUCCAGCUCUUGAGAUAAGUGGGUAUUCUUCUCUAUAAGAACCUAUGCAUACAAUGAUCCUUAAAUUAGUUGUGCCAACUAUUUCAAGUCUCAGGGGCUAAUACUACACAUACUUAUUAAAUUUUCUUACCUGUAUAUCCUUCACAUACUGGUCCGUUGCUCUGGCAAGUCCAUCUUGAGUAGCGCGGAUAUAUGCGUGUCUGGAGUUGAAGGCAUUGAACGCCUCUUCGAAAAAAAUACCACCACGGAGUACGGCCCGUCGGCGCCGGUGAUUCAUGGCGCUCUCCACCUCAGAAUUUGUGGCGGAAAGCCUAUCUGAAUCCUCUGCCUGAGGACAGUUCGGCGUUGUCCCCACAUCAGCCUCCGCCCGUGAGUCCGGUUCAGGAAUCCGGCUACUUGAGGCAUGGCCGGUGGGGUCCCCAGAUAUAGUCUGGCGACUACUCUUUCUGCCAGGACACAAGUAAAGCUAUCAUAUCUCGACAAACAUAAUAACAGGAGCAAGUUUAAUUCAUACCUCUGCGCCGAUGUCUCGAUCCUAGCUGCCUUCCUUUUAAGCCUGCCUUGUCCGGGCGCCCUUUGCUGAUGAGCCCCCGCGGGUUCCGCGCGGCAUCCAGAUGACCGUUUCUAUAGAGAUGCAACACGUAUGCAUAAGGUACGACAUAACAAAGGAAUCCUUCUCAAAAGUUAGGGUCCCAGCUUCACUUACACGAGACACAGGAAGCAGUCCGGGAUAAUCCACGAUGAUGGCUACUAAAGAGCUGCCAUAGCUUGCCUGGUAGAAUGUCCCGUUGAUAAACUCCACAGAGAUGUCCGGAUCUUCUUCAAGUCUGGGGUUGAGAGCCCGGCCGGGAUCCUCUGGCUGCGGGGAUGGGCUGUUGAACUCUUUCACGGUCUUUCUUAGUUCCUUCUUUGAAAUAGCAAGGUAGAUGAUUAACAAAGGAGGCAAGAAUGGACAGAGUCGAGUAAAGGAUGACAGCUUACCCAGCUCCGGGGGUUGUACAUAGAAAAUCCAUCCCGCGGUUUGAUGCAGAGGAACUCCUCUUCUUCUCCUUUAUACAAGUCGGACAGUAUUCUUGCCAGAGCGGUGGCGGAGUCCGGACCUUUACGACCGUAGCGGGAGGCGUCGUCUUCUCCAUUGAAGUGCCACAUGGGUUUCCCCUAUAUUGAAGUGGCUGCACUCCCCUCAUUAUACAUAUUGACAUAACUUCGGUUAUUGUCAGUCCUGAUUUGGCCAGGGUUUUUAUCCUGCUCAUCAGAUAGAGGACUUCUCUGUUAUCUUCCUCCUGGGGGCUCUGGGGGCGCCAGGUUUGGCGUUUAUUCAACAGAGUAUUGGUAAACUCAGGAAGGCCUGUCCGGACUGGGUCCGGAAGGGGAACGUCAUCAACAUAAAACCACUCCGAAGGCCAGUCUUCGGAAGCCUUCUUUGGAGUACCGGACAGGUAUCCGGUCUGGGCGAUGCGCCAUAUUUCGGCGCCGCCCACUUGAUAUAUAGAUCCCUCCUGAUUGCGGGGGACAAGGCAAAAUAACCUCUUCCAUAACUUGAAAUGAGCUUCACAGCCCAGAAACAGCUCGCAGAGGGCAACGUAACCCGCGAUGUGCACUAUGGAGGCGGGGGUAAAGUUAUGCAGCUGGAGGCCGUAGAACUCUAGGAGUCCGUGAAGGAAUGGGUGGAUUGGGAACCCGACUCCUCUUAGCAGAUAUGGGACAAGGCAUACCCGCUCUCCCUGAGAUGGGUUAGGAAAUCUCUCCGCUUGCUCCCCGCCAUUAUAGGUGGCUAGUCCGGAUCGGACGGGGACCAUGCAUGCAGUGGAAGGAACCCUUGGGUCUGCAACUCUACUAGGCGGCUGUGAGGGACGGAACACUUUUCCCAAUCCCUUGGCUUUGAGCUAAGAGAGCAAGAGGAAGAGCUACGGCGACCCGCCAUGAUGGGAUGGACUUUUCCGGACGCGCUCUAUGGAAAGCUUUCUCGGGAGAAGAUGGUGUGAUUUGGAUCUGAGGAUUCAAAUAGACGGGUUGCUUACAGGGUCAGGGUGGCAAAUGUAAAAAUGCCCCGGCUCCUCGUAUUCGCUUGACACGUGGAGAUGGCCAUUAUUGAAGCACAAAGACCGAGGAGUACAACAUUAAUGGGAAGCCGGACAAUGUUUGCUACGACAGGUACUCUGGAUUUGGAGAAGAACCCGGCUUGCAAUGCCAAAGACAAUCUGCGCGCCGGACUCAUCGUCAUUGAAGCCUGGUUCGGGGGCUACUGAGGGAGUCUUGGAUAAGGGGGUAUCCGGACAGCCGGAAUAUAUACUUUGGCCGGAUUGUUGGAUUAUGAAGAUACAAGAUUGAAGACUUCGUCCCGUGUCCGGAUGGGACUCUCCUUUGCGUGGAAGGCAAGCUUGGCGAUUCGGAUGAUAGAUCUCCUUCCCUGUAACUGACUCUAUGUAACCCUAGCCUCCUCCGGUGUCUAUAUAAAUCGGAGGGUUUAGUCUGUAGGACAAGAUAAUCAUAAUCAUAGGCUAGCUUCUAGGGUUUAGCCUCUACGAUCUCAUGGUGGAUCAACUCUUGUAAUACUCAUAUCAUCAAGAUCAAUCAAGCAGGAAGUAGGGUAUUACCUCCAUCGAGAGGGCCCGAACCUGGGUAAACAUCGUGUCCCCAGUCUCCUGUUACCAUUAGCCUUAGACGCACAGUUCGGGACCCCCUACCCGAGAUCUGCCAGUUUUGACACCGACAGGUGUUCUUUGUGGCGAGGUUCCCUGCCCGCCAUGCCCUGUUGCGCCCAUGGCCCCAAUCCCAACGGUGCCACCAGUUCUUGCUACUGAGGCUUCUCAGGCUGACCGGGAUGCCGCCAAAGCCCUUGAUGAUGAUGCAGCUGAUGCUUAUGAUCAGCAGGUAUCUACUUAUUCCAAUGCUCUUUCGGUGUACCGGGAUGAUUUGUCUGCUUACACUCAAUGGUGCAAUGAUGAUACUCGUGUUGCUGCUGUUCUCACUACGAGUGUCCUUCCUCAGUUUGCUUCGGAGUUCAUGGGACUUGGCAUAGUUAUAACGAUGUGGUCUUAUCUUUGUCAGCGCUAUUAGCCCUCUGGUGAUGCUCUCUACCUAUCUGUGGUGCGUCAGGAGCAUGCACUCCAGCAAGGUGAUUCCUUUGUUGAUGAGUUCUAUUCAUAGUGCUCUGCCAUCUGGCGUUAGCCUGACUCUCUUUGGACAGUUGUUUGUGGCACAUGUUGUUGCUGUCAGACUACUCGGUCUGAUCUGGAGUUUCAGCGGGUCCAUGAGUUCUUAUCUCGUCUUCGCUCUGAGUUCGAGCCCAGACAUGCUCACUUGCUUGCUCGUGGUCGUGUUCCUAUCUCGGAGGUGCUUGCAGAGCUUCGUGCUGAGGAGACCUGCCUUCACUCUGCUGGUUUGCUGGUGGUCCUAUCUGUGUUGGCUGCUCAGGCUCCUGUGUUGUCUGCUUGGCUCACCGCUCCACCGCUCCUACCCACACCUUCAGGGGGGUGGGUCGCCUUGCUUAUACUGAGAGGGGCCGAUCGCGCCGUGACACCUUCUGUGGCUACUGCUCUCAGCCAGGUCAUCCAGAGUCUGAUUGUUGUGAGAAGAAGUGAGACCAGAGGUGCUCCUCCGUGGCACCCCGGCUCAGAGAAACCGGAACGUCCCGUAUUCCAGCCCAGAGAUCGAGGAGAAGUCUCUGGAAUACGACACUACUUGACAUAGAACAAAUCAGGUCUUAAUACAAGAAUAAUAAUACAAGGGUCUGAUGUUACAAAUAAGCACAUCAGCACGGUGACACUACGCCUACGAUACUACACUUGCACUAUGCUAGCAGCAGAACAACUUGUAGCAGCAGAAAUCUUCUAGCAACGGAAUAACGACGAAGGUAGUGAACUCCACUCCACAGGGACUCUAGCUAGGACACGAUCUAGCUCGCACGAACGGAAACCACGACAAGCAAUCAAGCAACCACGACAUCGCCUGCAAUCUGGCAUGACACGCCAGGUCAGUACAUUGAAUGUACUUGCAAGCUCACAACAACCAAAAACAUCAAGGCAAGACAACAACAUAGCAUUAAGCAGGUUAAUUAAAUUAACAGCUACCAUGAUGAAGCAACUAAUAAUCACGAUAUGAACUACUAGAAUACUGAUAAGCCAUCAUCUCAGAUCUCAAGUACCAUAUGAACCAUCUCACACUUGGCUAACCGGCCAAGCAAUAUACCAUCUCGAUCACCUUGUGACCAAAACAAAACGGUGAUCACUCACGGAUCACAAUUCCAACCACACCGGGUUCAAUGGGUUACCUUGUAACCGAACGGUGAAUCAUUCAUAGAUCACAAACGGAACAUCCACAUGAUCACCUCGUGACCACAUCACAAACUGAAUAAUCCUUCUCAAGAUCAUCCCAACAUCAUCAUCAUCAUUCUGCCAAACUGUUACAGCUCACAACAUUAACAUAUACAUCACCUAUAAGUCAUUCCGUCAUGUGAGUGUUAAUCGAACGGUGUGACCUAGUACGAACUUAUGCCCAUGACCGAGGACGCGGCUAUCAAUAGAUUAAACACACACACUCUAUAGAGGUAGCGCACUUUACCCACAUCAUAGAACCCAUGGCCUCGCACUCCCAUUCGAGUGGACCAACGGCGUUCCGACAAAACCGAUCUACUGCCAUGACACUCUCCCAGCUACUCUGACUAACUCCCCAUUGGGCUAAUUCAUGUGUGGCCCCAUGUCUACCAAAGACACCAACGGCCACCAUCGUGGCAAAACAAAACGGUCCCAGACGGGGACAAGAGCUCUCAAUACCAACUACGGGCGCACAAGGUUAUGUCUGCUUACCGGGCCAGGGUACCGCACACCCAUAACCUUCCCUUGUUAGAGGCACCAGCGAGAGGCAUGACAAUAGCAUCGCAUUAGGGCCUUCCCAUAAAAGGCAAAUGUGGUUGCACUGGAAAAGCCCGGUUUAGUGGCACCUGACCAACUUAAUGACAGAAUUUUACCCCAAAAACAUAACUGUGAUAACUGAUACUCCGAUAUCACCUAUCAACCUAUAAUCCAAGCCAUACCAAUAUCCAACAAAUAAUCUAAGCAUAAUAUCACCAUACCAAAAUACUCCGAGGAUAACACUACUAUCAUGAUGAAUCUGAAAACAAUACUACUACUACUCCAAUAUGUAAGAACAAGCUAUCCAGCUAAGAUCCACAUGUAACCAUUAUCUCUGAAAUUAAUACUCCAAGCAACAGUAACAGAACAUCAACUAGUAUCAUGAAAAUAAUCAUACUAACCACUAAUAAUCCAAAGGCAGCAUGACAUCAAAGUAAUACUCCAAAAUAUAAUGCCAGAUAUCAUCAUGAAAACAAUAAUAAUAUCAACCACUAAUACUCCAAUGGAAACAUGAUACUCAUCAGCUACAAACAUAACUCCUAGCAAUCCAAACAAUAGCAUGGCAACAACAAGAUCAAAAUAAUACUCCCAGAAAAUGCCAUGCACACAGUCAUGUAACUAAAGCAAUAUUUUAAACAAGUUCAAAUAGAUUAAACCAUGUCACUGCAUUAUAGUGAUGCAAAUGGAGGGUGUGGCUUUCCUGGGGUGGAAGAAAUCACCGGGAGAAAGUGCGAGAAACUCGCGGAAAGAAUCGCCGGAAAUCUUUCUCUCUCGGAGGGGGCUAAAUAAUGGCAGUGGAAAAAUGGUCAUUUUAAGAAUGAUAAAACAUGGUAAAAAUGGUUCCAUCAGAACGGGCUCGACGAAACGAAGAAGUGAGCUUUGGUUUCACCUCAAACGGAGUUACAGUUGCAGAGUUAUGAGGUGUAGAAGAUCAGGGACUUUUCUGCAAAAAUAUCAUCACAAACCAGUCCCUAAGUGGAUAAGUGAAAGGAUCGAGAAGAGGUGUCUAGAGGGGGGUGAUUAGACACUAAGCAAGAAAAGUUCCAGUCUUUAAAUUCUUUAAGUUGAAGUGGAGUUUUUGCACAAGUUUAACAAUCACAAUACAUAUCAAGCAAGCAUGCAAAGAGUUUAUGAGCAGCGGAAAGUAAAGCAUGCAACUUGCAAGAAUGGAAAGGGAUGGGAUUGGAGUGUGCAAACGCAAUUUGGAGACACAGAGAUUUUUGAGUCGUGGUUCCGAUAGGUGGUGCUAUUGUACAUCCACGUUGAUGGAGACUUCAACCCACGAAGGGUAACGGCUGCGCGAGUCCACGGAGGGCUCCACCCACGAAGGGUCCACAAAGAAGCAACCUUGCCUAUCCCACCAUGGUCAUCGCCCACGAAGGACCUGCCUCACUAGGGGUAGAUCUUCACGAAGUAGGCAAUCUCCUUGCCCGUACAAACUCCUUGGUUGAACUCCACAAUCUUGUCGGAGGCUCCCAAGUGGCACCUAGCCAAUCUAGGAGACACCACUCUCCAAGAAGUAACAAAUGGUGUGUUGAUGAUGAACUCCUUGCUCUUGUGCUUCAAAUGAUAGUAUCCCCAACACUCAACUCUCUCUCACAAGAUUUGGAUUUGGUGGAAAUAAGAUUUGAGUGGAAAGUAACUUGGGGAAGGCUAGAGAUCAAGAUUCAUAUGGUAGGAUUGGAAUAUCUUGACCUCAACACAAGUGUAGGUGGUUCUCUCUCAGAAAAUGUAAGUUGGAAUUGUAGGCAUGUUCUAAUGGCUCUCUCCAUGAAUGAAGAGGGGGUGGAGGGGUAUAUAUAGCCUGCACACAAAAUAUAACUGUUACACACAACUUACCAAUCUCGGUGGGACCGAAUCGUGAAACUCGGUCGAACCGAUUUAGCAAAUAAUGUCACCGUUAGGAUUUUCGGUGGGACCGGCAUGUCAACUCGGUGGGACUGAUUUUGGUAACAAGCUAACCAGAGAGUUGGUCAGGAAAACUUGGUGGGACCGAUUCGCUCAUCUCGGUGAGACCAAAAUGUUACGAAGAGGAACAGAGAGUUUGCAUUGGAAUCUCGGUAGGACCGAUUACACAAACUCGGUGGGACAGAUUUUGGUAAUGGACACAUACAGAGAGAUUACAAUCCCAUCUCGGUGAGACCGAGAUCCCUAUCGAUGAGACCGAUUUGACUAGGGUUUGUGGCAGUGGCUAUGACAUCUGAACUCGGUGGCGCUGGAUAGAAAGAAUCAGUGGGGCUGAGUUUGACUUUUGGUUUAGGUCAUAGGUGGAUGUGAGAAAGUAGUUGAGGGCUUUGGAGCAUAUCACUGAGCAUUUUGAGCAAGAACCUCAUUAAGCAACACCUCAUCCCUCCUUGAUAGUAUUGGCUUUUCCUAUAGACUCAAUGUGAUCUAGAUCACUAAAAUAGAAAAUGUAGAGUCUUGUGCUUUGAGCUUGAGCUAGUCCUUUGUCCUUAGCUUCUAUAAGGGUUUCCACAUCCUCUAGUCCAUGCCACUCCAUUGUUGAACUUAUCUGAAACAUACUAGGUAAAGGUAUUAGUCCAACAAUAGAUAUGUUGACAUUAAUUACCAAAAUCACCCAGGGAGCACUUGUGCUUUCAAUCUCCCCCUUUUUGGUAAUUGAUGACAACAUACAUCAAAGCUUUAGAUAGAGAUAUAUAGAGAAUAACAAGUAAAGCUUUGGAAAGACAUGUAACAUGCAUAGGCUCCCCCUAUAUGUAUGCAAUCAUGUAAAUAUGGAAUAUAGGAGCAUGUGAAUGCAUAAUCAUGACAGAAAAAGCAAUGCAUUACAUGUGUCUUGGCUAUAUGCAUCAGAGCAAAAUAUGUGAAUAUGGGAAAUGUACCUUCAUGCUCAUGAGUCCUUCUUGCAAACAGUAUGUACAUCAACAAGAGAUCCUCAUACACAUGACUGUGAUGCAUAUACUUACCUUGUGGUCUUGAGUUGGCUUAGGAUGGAAUGAACCUGCGUAAACAAGGUUAGAUAACACAGAUGCACUUACUAGCCAGAUCAAACAAAAGAAACCACAAGAGUACCAAGACUGGGAUGACAUGUAGAAAGUGAGUACUGAGUACUCAUUUGAUAUAGACAUGUCCCCAAAGGUAAAGAUGUGCAAUGAAUUCAAGGAAUUACUUCCCUUAGAUUUCUUGCUCCCCCUGAAUCUAGCAUGGGAUACUGGUAGGGAACAGAAAAUCAGAGCUCAAAGAAAAGAAACAAAGCUAAUGCAACCAAACUAAUAUGAACAUAUCUUUCCCCCUUUUAAAGACAUGUGACUUCUCUCCUCUUGAACACCAGGCAUCUGGGGUCCUUGAUGAUUACUCUCUCUCUCCUUGAGUAUUCUCUCCCCCUAUAGAUAUGAUUAAGCUUUGAUGUGAUCUCUCUCCCCCCCUUUGACAUCAAUUCCAAGAAGGGUUCUUCUGGAUUUUUGUUACAAAUGGGUUUGGUCCUUGAGGCACAAAACAAAGCAGUAAGGCUAAAGUGGUGCUGGUAGAGGACAAGAUUUAUUGAGUGGAGCUGGAUCAAAAGGAACUCAGGAACAAGUUGCAAGCUGUUUUUCCUGUUGUGAAAUCGGCGGCAUCGAGUUGUAGGCUUCGGUUGCACCGAAAGGAUUCAGUUGGACCGAAAAUUACAGGCCGGUGUGACCGAGUUCAUCACAGAGAAAACAUUUGUCACCUCAGCUCACUUGACAUGUAAGAUCUCACAAGGAUUUGCAAGGAAUUGGAUGCAGGAAAUGCAGAACAAAAGAAAGAAAGAAAGCUAGAUGAAGUUUUUUUUAUUAAAAGGGGAAACAAAUAUGCAUGAAACAAAUGCAAGAGCACAGAAAAGAAUCGGCGACAAAGUCACCUAUAUUAGAGUAUAUUGACAUAGGAGUCAAGUGAGAUCACUUGAUCAUAGGUCAUACUCAUCGUUUAAGCUCAAAAUGGGGUUACCACUUUUCAUUUAAGCAUUUUGAUGUAUUGACAUCUUGUUGAGUUGCUUUGACUCAUGUCUUGGAGUAAAGAUUCUCUAAGAUGGAAUAACAUACCUUGGGUGGUGGUGUUGAUCAUGAUCAUGUAGUUGAACUUAUGUGGGUUGCUCAAGGUUGAUGUAGCUCAGCAAGAGUUGGGAGCACCACUUUGGAAUUUGAGUUCAUCUUCCUACAUGGGUUAGCUUUUUGCAAGGAAGAGCACUUGUGUAUCCAAAAUGACAAUCAUAAAGUUCAAACUAGAAUUUGUCAAAAGGAUAUGUUUGAAUGGUUCUGUGCUUCCUUGUAUUCAACCACCAUUGUGUAGAGACUUGAUGAUGUAGAGAUUGCUCAAGAUGUGAAUGAGUUGCAAUCUCAUAGAUUUAGAUUCAUCCAAGUACCUACAAGGGUUAGAUAGCAUGCAAGGGUGCAAAUAUAUCCAAGACAUUUAAAUACCAACAUGAGAAGAAUAUCAAGGAUUAGUCAUAGGCUCAAGCCUUGCAUGUAUCCAAAUGGAGUUCCUACUCCAAGUUUGAAGCAUCAAUGAUGUUCAAUUCACCUCUCGACCUGCAAAAUACUUUCUCAUCAAGUGGUUUAGUGAAUAUAUCCGCUAAUUGCUUGUCGGUGCGAACAUGCUUAACGUUAAUGUCACCCUUAGUAACAUGAUCUUGAAUGAAAUGAUGACGGACUUCAAUAUGCUUAGUUCGAGAGUGUUGCACGGGAUUGUGAGCAAUCUUGAUAGCACUUUCAUUGUCACAAAGUAAUGGAACAUGUUUCACAUAUAUCCCAUAAUCCUUAAGAGUUUGGGUCAUCCAAAGUAAUUGAGCACAACAUGAUCCAGCGGCAAUGUAUUCCGCUUCGGCAGUGGAUAAGGAUACCGAUUUUUGUUUCUUGGAAGACCAAGACACAAGGGAUCUACCAAGAAAUUGACAAGUACCCGAAGUGGACUUUCUAUCAACCUUGUCACUGGCAUAGUCCGAGUCGGAGUAGCCAACAAGAUCAAAAGAUGCCCUCUUUGGAUACCAAAUGCCAAAAUUUGGUGUAUGAAUUAAGUAUCUCGCUAUCCUUUUCACGGCCUUAAGAUGACAUUCUUUAGGAGCAGCUUGAUAUCGUGCACACAUGCACACACUUAGCAUAAUAUCGGGAUGUGAAGCACAUAGGUAUAACAAUGAACCAAUCAUAGAGCGAUAAACCUUUUGAUCAACUGGUUCACCAUCUUUGGUAAAAUCAAGAUGUCCACUAGUAGGCAUGGGUGUAGUCAUACCUUUGCAUUCUUGCAUAUUGAACUUCUUGAACAAGUCCUUGGUGUACUUCGUUUGAGAGACAAAGGUUCCUUCCUUAGUUUGCUUGAUUUGCAAACCAAGAAAGAAUUUGAGUUCACUCAUCAUAGACAUCUCAAACUUCUCCGACAUUAGCUUUCCAAACUUUUCACUAAAAUGAGGGUUAGUUGAUCCAAAUAUAAUAUCAUCGACAUAAAUUUGGCACACAAAUAAUUCUCCAUUAAACCUUUUAGUAAAAAGCGUAGAACCAAUUUUUCCAAUUUCAAAGCCUUUUUGAUAAGGAACUUGGUCAAGCAUUUAUACCAAGCUCUAGGAGCUUGUUUAAGACCAUAAAGAGCUUUGUGAAGUUUGUAAACAUGAUUAGGUUUCUUAGGAUUAACAAAGCUGGGAGGUUGCUUAACAUAAACUUCCUCCUCUAUUUCACCAUUUAGAAAAGCAAUUUUAAUGUCCAUUUGGUAGAAGGUGAUAUCAUGGUGAUUAGCAUAGGCAAGUAAGAUGCGAAUGGACUCAAGUCUAGCAACGGGGGCAUAUGUCUCACCAUAGUCCAUACCUUCGACUUGAGUGUAACCUUGGGCGACGAGACGUGCUUUGUUCUGAACUACUUGUCCAUCUUCAUCUUGCUUGUUGCGAAACACCCAUUUGGUACCGAUGAUGUUAUGGUUGUUGUCGGGCUUCUCAACCAAUGUCCAAACUUGGUUUCUCUCAAAGUUGUGUAGCUCUUCAUGCAUGGCGUUUAUCCAAUUCGGAUCUUCCAAUGCUUCUUCAACCUUCAUAGGGUCAAUGCUAGAGAUGAAUGAAUAAUGUUCAUAAAAGUUAGCUAAACGAGUUUUAGAGCGAGUGAUUCUCCCAUUUUCGAUAUCAUUGUAGAUUUGCUCGACGGGGUGGUCUCUGGCAACUCUUUCUCGAACUCGUGAAAGCCUUUGCUUGGAUCUUGGUGGAACAUAUUCUUCAUCUUGUUCUUCUUCUUGGCCUUCUUCGUUGUUGACGUUGUCGUUCUCUUGUCAUGGUGGAGAAGGAGGUUGUUGAUGUUCAUCUUGGUGUACUUCCUCAUUUUCUUUGUCUUGGUGUGUCCCACUUGCGAAUGCUUCUGUAUCAACUCUUGGUUCACCUUGUCGUGAGGUAGAAGCUUCCACUUGGACAAACGAGGUACUCUCCUUCACCUCCGUUGGACGAAUCUUGCCAAUAGACAAGUCUUGGAUUGCUUCUGACGGGUCUUUGUCUCCUACAUCAAUUGGCAAUUGCUCUACUUGCGAGCCAUUAGAUUCAUCAAACUUCACAUCUACCGUCUCUUCAACCUUUCAGGUGAAAUUGUUGUAGACACGGUAAGUGUGAGAGUUUGAGCCGUAACCAAGUAGGAAUCUUUCAUGAGACUUAGGAGCAAAUUUAGAGCGAUGAUGCUUAUCAAGAAUGUAGCACUUUGAUCCGAAUACUCGAAAGUAUUCAACUUGGGGUUUGUUACCGGUGAGGAGCUCGUAUGCCGUCUUACCGAGUAGCUUGUGAAGAUACAAGUGAUUUGUUACAUGACAAGCUGUCUCAACCGCUUCUGCCCAAAAGUGCUCUGUCGUCUUGUAUUCAUCAAGCAUCGUUCUCGCCAUUUUGAUGAGCGUCCGGUUCUUCCUCUCAACAACUCCAUUUUGUUGAGGUGUGUACGUGGCCGAGAACUCAUGUGAAAUUCCUUCUUCGUCAAGAAAGGUGUCCACAUUUGCAUUCUUGAACUCCAUUCCGUUGUCGCUCCGAACCUUCUUGAUCUUCACUUCAAACUGAUUUUGGGCUUUCCUCGCGAAGUUUUUGAAGAUCUUUUGGACCUGCGAUUUAUCAUUGAGAAAGAACACCCACGUAAAUCUUGAAAAAUCAUCAACUAUAACUAGACCAAAAGAAUUUCCACCGAGACUUCUGUAGGCGUUGGGACCAAAAAGAUCCAUAUGAAGUAGCUCGAGUGGCCUCCUUGUGGUCAUGAUGUUCUUCACGGGAUGCCUUCCUGCAACCUGUUUACCUGCUUGACAAGCGCUACAAAGUCUAUCCUUAUCAAAUAUGACAUCAUUAACACCAAGGAUAUGAUUUCCUUUAAUAAGCUUGUCAAGGUUUCGCAUGCCCACAUGACCUAAUCGUCUAUGCCAUAACCAACCUUUAGAGGAUUUAGCAAUGAAGCAAGUUCUAGGUUGAGCCUUUUUAGUGAAAUCAACAAUGUAAAGAUCACCUCUACGAAUGCCGGUAAAGACCAUUUUAUGAUUAUCUCUACAAAACACUUGGCAAUCUACUUCAGUAAAUAGGACAUUGAAACCGAAAUCAGCAAGUCUAGAUACUAAAAGUAAAUUGUAUCCAAGAGAUUCAACGAGCAUGACAUUUUGUAUGGAGCUAUCAUGUGAGAUGGCCACCUUACCGAGGCCAACUACCUUAUCCUUUGAGUUAUCACCAAAAGUGACAUACUUUUGAGGGCCGUCAUUUUCAGUAAGAUCACGAAACAUAUCUUUAUCUCCGAUCAUGUGAUCGGUACAUCCACUAUCAAGAACCCAUUCCUUUCCUCCUGCCAUGUAUCCUCGAGGAUUUGCAAUAAGACCAAAGUGUCUCAUUGCAUCAUCAAGAUCAAAGUCAUCAUCAUCAUCCUCAUCGUAGUAUCCAUGUUCAACAUCGUCAUGUGGUGGAUCAAUUCCUAGAGAUGGUGAUUCGUUAGACAAAUGGUUUUGACAAUAGUCAUCUUUAUGAAUUCUAAUGGCUUCGAAGAUAAUAUCACUAAUAAUUCCAACCUCUCCUUUGGCACACAUAAGAUUUGUAAGCUCAAAUAGACAAUCACCAAACUUAGGAUCAUUGGAAUUCAUCUUACCCAAGGCAAUAGAUUUAUGUAGAAUUUCAUCUAGAUUUUGCAAGGAAUAAUUUGGAAAACGUUCCUCAAGAAAUUUCCAUAUGUUGUAGGCACAAUCAAGAGUAGGCAAACAUCCAAUCAAGUUUCUAGGCAAGCCUCUUGUUAUAAGAUUAACAGUUCUAAAAUUGCGAAUCAUGUCAAUUGACUCAUCAAGGGUGGGAUGCAUAGGAUCAACAUGAGGUGCACAAGGACUAGUAAUGUACUUGUUCAAAUGAUAUUCAUUGAAAAUCACAAGCAUCUCAUUUUUCCACUCAUGAAAGUACUCUCCAUCAAGUAUAGGCACUCUAUGUCUAAAACUCCCCAAAGUAGACUCAUCCAUCUUCCUCCAAUGGUGGUUAAACCAAAGCAAUGGAGACCAAAGCUCUAAUACCAAUUGAAAGGAUCGAGAAGAGGUGUCUAGAGGGGGGUGAUUAGACAUUAUGCAAGAAAAGUUGUAGUUUUAAAAUUCUUUAAGUUGAAGUGGAGUUUUGGCACAAGUUUAAUAAUCACAAUACAUAUCAAGCAAGCAUGCAAAGAGUUUAUGAGCAGCGGAAAGUAAAGCAUGCAACUUGCAAGAAUGUAAAGGGAUGGGAUUGGAGUGUGCAAACGCAAUUUGGAGACACGGAGAUUUUUGAGCCGUGCUUCCGACAGGUGGUGCUAUUGUACAUCCACGUUGAUGGAGACUUCAACCCACGAAGGGUAACGACUGUGUGAGUCCAAGGAGGGCUCCACCCAUGAAGGGUCCACGAAGAAGCAACCUUGUCUAUCCCACCAUGGCCGUCGCCCACUAAGGACCUGCCUCACUAGGGGUAGAUCUUCACGAAGUAGGCGAUAUCCAUGCCCGUAUAAACUCCUUGGUUCAACUCCACAAUCUUGUCAGAGGCUCCCAAGUGACACCUAGCCUAUCUAGGAGACACCACUCUCCAAGAAGUAACAAAUGGUGUGUUGAUGAUGAACUCCUUGCUCUUGUGCUUCAAAUGAUAGUCUCCCCAACACUCAACUCUCUCUCAUAGGAUUUGGAUUUGGUGGAAAGAAGAUAUUAGUGGAAAGUAACUUGGGGAAGGCUAGAGAUCAAGAUUCAUAUGGUAGGAUUGGAAUAUCUUGACCUCAACACAAGUGUAGGUGGUUCUCUCUCAGAAAAUGUAAGUUGGAAGUGUAGGCAUGUUCUGAUGGCUCUCUCCACGAAUGAAGAGGGGGUGGAGGGGUAUAUAUAGCCUCCACACAAAAUCUAACCGUUACACACAACUUACCAAUCUCGGUGGGACCGAAUCAUGAAACUCGGUCGGACCGAUUUAGCAACUACUGUGACCGUUAGGAUUUUCAGUGGGACCGACAUGUCAACUCGGUGGGACCGAUAUGGUUAGGGUUAGGGCAUAACGUAAUCUCGGUGAGGCCGAUUACACAAACUUGGUGGGACCAAUUUUGGUAAUAAGCUAACCAGAGAGUUGGUCAGGCAAACUCGGUGGGACCGAUUCGCUCAUCUUGGUGAGACCGAAAUGUUACGAAGAGGAACAUAGAGUUUACAUUGUAAUCUUGGUAGGACCGAUUACACAAACUCGGUGGGACCGAUUUUGGUAAUGGACACAUACAGAGAGAUUACAAUCCCCAUCUCGGUGAGACCGAGAUCCCUAUCCAUGAGACCGAUUUGACUAGGGUUUGUGAUAGUGGUUGUGACAUCUGAACUCGAUGGCGCCAAAUAGAAAGAAUCGGUGGGGCCGAGUUUGACUUUUGGUUUAGGUCAUAGGUGGAUGUGAGAAAGUAGUUGAGGGCUUUGGAGCAUAUCACUGAGCAUUUUGAGCAAGAACCUCAUUAAGCAACACCUCAUCCGUCCUUGAUAGUAUUGGAAUUUCCUAUAGACUCAAUGUGAUCUGGAUCACUAAAAUAGAAAAUGAAGAGUCUUGUGCUUUGAGCUUGAGCCAAUCCUUUGUCCUUAGCUUCUAGAAGAGUUUCCACAUCCUCUGGUCCAUGUCACUCCAUUGUUGAACUUAUCUGAAACAUACUAGGUAAAGGUAUUAGUCGAACAAGAGAUAUGUUGAUAUUAAUUACCAAAAUCACCGAAGCAGCACUUGUGCUUUCAAUAAGGCAGAGGCGCAAUAUUAGAAAUACGCUUUCGGUCAGUGAAAACGUAUUCCACGGAAUACGUUUCCACUAAUCCACGUAAGCGAGGGCGGGGCCGGGGCUUAUCUCACUGCCAGGUGGGACCACGGGGUCCACACGCCUGGUGAACGCCCUCCUCUUGCCUCCUUCUUCUUCUCCUCGUCGCUCCCCCGACGGAGCAGAGGACGGGGCCGGCGCCGGCGCUCGUCCGGGUGGCUCCGACCAUUGUUUGCCGAGCUCCGACCAUCGAUGGACUCAGCGUGGACCGCCGCAUCCGCUGGUGCAGGACACGGCCACCAGAGAUCAACGGCUCGAGUGGAGCUUAGGCUGAUGCGGACGACAGCUCCGGUGAAGUUGGAGACAGGGCUAUGGUGGAGGAACGGGAUCCACAGGGCACGGGAAAACCUCGCCGUGGUUGAGGGAUUCCACUGGAGGUGCUAUGGGGAGGGGGAGAGCUCGCCUCGGAGCGAAUUUAUGUGGACAGGAGGCGGCGGCCAUGGCGGGCUCGGGAGCUCUUAGAGCUCAGGGGAGGGGUCGGGGAGGAGUACUGGAGCAAGGCAAGGCGGGUGGUGAGCUCAGACGAGGAGGGGGAUGGCUAUUUAUAGCCGGCCGAGGGAGGCCGGCUCGGGUGUCGCCGCGGGGAUCCGGCCAACGCUCUGGCAACGGCCAGCGAUCAUGGGAGGGUGCGGGAAGGCGACAAUGGAGGCAACGGACGAGCCGCAGAGUUGCACAGGGCAAGAGGGGUCGAGGGCACAGAGGGGAAAUGGCCACGGCGCCAUUAAUGCUCGGUCAGCCACAGCGUGCCCGUGGGCGCACAACGAUGAGCAAUGACGGAGGGCUUACGGAGGGGGAAGAUGGCUCCAGGAGGACGGCGACGACGCGGGGAACACGCUAGACAGGCCCGUGCUCGCUGAGACACCGAGCAGAGGACGGGCCCAAGCAAGAAGACGUUCUGGACGCGGACAUUGCAUGCGAAAACGGUGGUCACCACCAGUACUUGCAUGUGUGGGAGGCAAACAGCUGGCAAAUGAUGUCUAGGGGUUAGUCCUUCCAUGGUAGGUUUCAACUAUGGUGGUAGCUCGGUUAAAAAUGCUCUGGUUAAAUGGUAAGUGAGCUGUGAAGUUUACUGCAGUAACAUUGAUCAACUAAGUGUGAUCAACAGAGAGAUUCUAUGGGUCAAGUGUUUUGUCUGGGAUGUUUAGGCUAAGAAGGACUACAUUCCUGGGGAGUUUGAGGAGAAAUGGACCAAGAAUGAAUAUAGUUGCUUCACAACUGCAUUUUUGGUCCAGAAAUGAAGAUCAUGGUGAUGCUCUCACAUAGAGUAUCAACUUAAGCUCAACUUGGGCAAGGCACGGUUAUUUCAUCAUAUGAAGAUGAUGAGAAAGGUUUCAUACCAUUUGGAUAAACCAAAAUGGUACUUCCUUCACAAGCAUCUCCUCUGGACAGAAACUUGCAAAAAUUCUCGAUGGAUAAUGGCUUGAUGAAAUAUGCCCAAAAUGGGUGGAGAUAUGUUUUGUGGAAAUAAAAAUGAUCUGGUAAUUUAUCAGGAUUUUUCAAGCAAUAUAAAAUACACUUGCUUCACAACCUGAAAAUAUUGCUAGAACCAAAGAUUUUCCCCUGUGCUCACAUAGAUGAUUGGAUGGGGCUGCAAAUGGGUGGACGGGGUUAAUAUGAUCACAUUAAGGAGUUUGAAAAAGUACAACUCAUUUGGAUAUUCCUAGCUAGUACUUCCUUCACAUUGGCUUCUGUUUGACAGAAACAUUGCUGAGGAAGAUUGGCUAGGCAAAUAAAGUUGAACUUGUGCAUGAGGCAAUUAUUUGGACAUAUAAGCAAGCCCAAGGAGUUUGGGAGCAAUCAAGAAAAUAUAGGUGGCACUUCCUUCACAGAAAACCACACUGGACAAAAAUGAAGAAUAAUUAUUGGGGAAUUAUUUUUGAACUGGCCAAGGAAAUGUUUGGGCAUAUUUGAGCUAUAUAUGACCCAAAGGAAUUAUGAGAAUUAUUUGGGAAUUUUUGGAAGAACAGAAAUAUAGGUUGCUUCACAACCUAGGGUAGAUAGGGUUAUUCCUUUAAUGAAAAAUGAAUUUUCCCUAGAAAAGAAUUUUAGAGUUUGGUCAAGGAGUGAAGUGACAUGAUCUUGGCAAGGUUUUGAGAAUGAUGAGCCACUUGGGAGGGGGAAUGAGGAUGAUUUCCCAGGUGGCAAGGCCACAGAACCACUCCAAAAAGAAAAACAGAGCAGAAACCAAAUAAAUCAAAAGAAAAAGAAAAGGACCAAAAUCCAAGCUGUUACAAUCCUUACCCCCUUAAAGAAAUAUCGUCCUCGAGAUUUAGUUGCUCUGGGAACAAGUAUGACUUGAGGACACCGUUUCCAACUCGGGUAUCCUUUUUCCUUUAUUUAUUGUUCCGCAAGAAUUUCAGAUGACCAACUUACCUUGCUCUGGGGUGGUCUUGCUUCACCUUUCCCCAAAUUCUGACGGUUUUUUGCUCACAUACCAAACCCUUUUGCUGACGUGAAUUUUCUCAUAUCUGUGGGGAUAUCCAAUGGAUCUGAGCAUAGAUUUUCCUUUGGUCAUGAAACCUUUUUACUUCUGUCAUGGGGUUGCUUCAAAUAAAUGCAGGUUUCAAUAAAUUCUGAGAAUUAUCAUGGCCACCUUCUGAAGGGAUCUAACUGCUCAUAGGUGGCACUGAUUUAUCUUGAUUUAUUUCUUUGGCUCGAGCAUGAGAUAUGUUCCAAAGAUUUGACUGCCUUCUGUCGUGAGCAAUAUAAUGGUGUAUGGAGUUAUAGCUGUGUCAUACCUCAAAUAUUUACAUCUUGAGACUGGCCCGAUAGGGGGCUGAUGGACAAAUGCUUUUCUUGAUAGACUAAUCAUGUACUUGAUUCCGUCGGUGAGUAUACCAGGUCUGAGUUGAUUGUUCGGCUUUUGAUUUUUCUCAUGUGGUUGAUAUACCCAUCUGUGGUAGUAGGUUGUGAUAUGCUUUCAUGUUGCCACCGAAGUCAAACUGUGGAGCUUGCAAAGAAAUCUUGGGUCUGAUAGAACAGACUUGGAUAUUCCAUGCUAACCAUGUCAAGCGAGUCAGCGGGAUAUGAAAAUCCUUGUAAAACAGAGUAGGCCCUUGAGAGUAUGCCUUUGGGGAUCCAUAUGGAAUAAUGGCUUUCAACUGACUUGGGUAUCCGGACCCUGUCCUUGAUUCUUUGUAUGACCAUGGAUGUGAUUAAAUUUUUGACAUUAUUCCUUGUGCUUGUUUUUCUGACCUGUGUCUGCACCCGUAUGACAUAUACCCGGGGUUUGUAGCUGUAUGGAGCUCAUUGCUGAGGCCAAUCAUACAAGAAGGUGACAAGGUCUCAUGAUAUCUCCUUGUCAAUUGCGAGAGUAAUGACCUUGAUGACCAUUGCCAAGAUUGUUGAUUUUGCGUUGUCAUCUCCAGAUAUUGCCGAUCCUUGUAAUUCAUGAGAUGUAUCUCUGCUUAUUUCCUUUGCCUGACUUGGGAGGUUGUGGGGUCCUUACUUUCCUUAGGUAUAUCUGUUGGAUCUUUGCUGCAUCUCGUAUGAGCUACUGAUAUGACUGGGGAUGCAUGCUCACCAUGUAUAAGAAUAAUAUGCCACCGAAUACUCGAUCCUUGCGGUAGGCAUAUGUUUUGACUGAAUUUUACCUCUAACAAAAUUAUUGUAAGUCUGGUCCUUGAACGGUACUGCCAUACAUUUGCAACUCAUCAUAUAAUCUCUGAGGAUGGUGAAAUAUUGUGGUACUGACGCGGACUUGGUGGCUUACAAGAGAAGCCAUCCGAGUAGUUUGCUGAGGAAGACUUGUUAACUUCUGCUCAAAUCUUUUGUCUGGGUAUCGUGCAGAAGAAAGCUCUAUAGCUUACACGCGAAGCUUGCUAUGAUUGUUGCACUGGAGAAGCCUGGGUUUCGUACUUGAGAAGCUUCUGUUCGGUUUUGCUUAUUGAGAAAAUUUUAUUUCCGUCCGCCAGAAGCUUUUACCGAGGUAUCUUGCUGAGAAAGAUCGGGUAUCGUGGGCCGGAAAUUGUUCACAUAUCAUGCUGAGGCAGAUUGAGGAGCCUUGCAUCAUAAAUUUCUCUGAUAGCGUGUGGAAGAAUACUGGGUUUCUUACAUCCAAAGCUUCAUACUGAUAUGCAGACUAAAAUCUAUACACAUGCCCAUAAUAUUCUGAGGCAGAUUAUUUGCAUGAGAAAAAUGGUUUGACUGUCUUCCUUGAGCAUAUCACAUUCUGAGUUUAUUUCGGAUGAAAACAUAUUUCAAGCAUUGCAUUAUUGAGCCAAAAUUUAUAUAGGAUCAAUACCUCUGUCUAAAAAUAUACCGUUGGUCUUGCAACUAACUUGUCUUUCUGCUGGCUGGAUCAUAACUGCUGUGAGGAUUUUGCACUGAUGUAGACUCAAUGCUGAUAAUCAAUCCAAUGCACCAUUGGUAUUCUGAGCAGAUAUUAAUGCCAUAAUGCAGUUGACUGGGUAGACCAUAAUGUUUUAGUUGAUCUUCUUCCAAAUAUUUGAAAUCCUUAUUACUUCUUCGAGUCCGGUGUCGGUUGAGGAGCAACACUUUAUAGGGGAAAAAUAAUGUAACACCGGGGCCCAAAAAAGAAAGAAGCAAAAGAAAAAUCAACUAAACAAAAGAACACAAUAACAAUCAAUGUCACAUACAAUUAAUGUCACAUAUUACUGCUAGUCACACAAUAUGCAUGCCUACUUAAGCACACAAAUCUCGCGGGAUCUCUAGUUCUAUAAUCUAGCAUGCUGUGACGAUGUGCACGAGGACGAAUAAAUGUGUGGAAGAAUUGGUGUAAACAGCGCUACACCAAGUGCUAGCUUAGACAUGUAGCAACCUGGACUAGCUCGGAGGCGAGGACGCACUCGGUAAUCAUGUAGUGGGACACAAAGGUCACAACCACAUUAUUAUCAAGCGGACAGAAAAAAAUUCGUGCUCGUCCAAGAAAUAGGAUAGCGGGGAAAAACUAAGGCUGCUGACAUUGCCCUUUCUUGAUAACUAAGAUUAUUAAGGGUUUCCAACAUGACAAAAUGAAAGAGUGAUUCGGGAUAGAAGCAUGUCCAUCACCGAAACAAUAGGCGGGACUGAAAGAAAGACACCGGCGCAAUACUUGAGCACCAUUGCAAACAGUGUCGGGAUCACUUGGCAUCACUCUACUGGGACAGAAAUGACACCAACACCGAAAGAAAAGGGAAUGGAGAAAUGCAAAGGUUGAGCUGUAGUGGAUCCGAACCGAUGCCAGCUACACUCACCAGAUAAACCGUUAGCAACAAACAAUAAUUCUAUAUGCAUGCUAUGCAACAAACAAAUGCAGCAACCAAAUGCAAUCAAUAAGCCAGACUCCAUACUACCAAUUUCUACCUGUUUCUAUUGCUCGCGCUUACUAGGGCGUCCUAUAGCCAGACCUGCUCUGAUACCGAGCCUGUGGCACCCUGGCUCAGAGAAACUGUAACGCCCUGUAUACCAGCCCAGAGAUCAAGGAGAAGUCUCUAGAAUACGGCACUGCUUGACAUAGAACAAAUCAGCUCUUAUUACAAGAAUAAUAAUACAAGGGUCUGAUGUUACAAAGAAGCACAUCAGCACGGCGACACUACGCCUGUGAUACUACACUUGCUCUAUGCUAGCAGCAGAACAACUCGUAGCAGCAGAAAUCUUCUAGCAACGGAAUAACGAUGAAGGUAGUGAACUCCACUCCGCAGGGACUCUGGCUGGGACACAAUAUAGCUCACACGAACGGCAACCACGACAAGCAAUCAAGCAACCACGGCAUCACCUGCAAUCUGGCAUGACACGCCAGGUCAGUACAUUGAAUGUACUUGCAAGCUCACAACAACCAAAAACAUCAAGGCAAGACAACAACAUAGCAUUAAGCAGGUUAAUUCAAUUAACAACUACCAUGAUGAAGCAACUAAUAAUCACGAUAUGAACUACUAGAAUACUGAUAAGCCAUCAUCUCAGAUCUCAAGUACCACAUGAACCAUCUCACACUUGGCUAACCGGCCAAGCAAUAUACCAUCUCGAUCACCUUGUGACCAAAACAAAACGGUGAUCACUCAUGGAUCACAAACAGAACCACACCGGGUUCAACGGGUUACCUCGUAACCGAACGGUGAUCAUUCACAGAUCACAAACGGAACAUCCACAUGAUCACCUCGUGACCACAUCACAAACUGAAUAAUCCUUCUCAAGAUCAUCCCAACAUCAUCAUCAUCAUUCUGCCAAAUUGUUACAGCUCACAAUAUUAACAUAUACAUCACCUAUAAGUCAUUCCGUCAUGUGAGUGUCGAUCGAACGGUGUGACCUAGUACGAACUUAUGCCCAUGACUUAGGACGUGGCUAUCGAUAGAUUAAACACACACACUCUCUAUAGAGGUAGCGCACUUUACCCACAUCAAAAAAACCAUGGCCUCGCACUCCCAUUUGGGUGGACCAACGGCGUUCCGACAAAAUCGAUCUACUGCUAUGACACUCUCCCGGCCACUCUGACUAACUCCCCAUUGGGCUAAGUCAUGGGUGGCCCCAUGUCUACCAAAGACACCAACGGCCAUAGUCGUGGCAAAACAAAACGGUCCCAAAUGGGGACAAGAGCUCUCAAUACCAACUAUGGGCACACAAGGUUAUGUCUGCUUACCGGGCCAGGGGACCGCACACCCAUAACAUUCCCUCGUUGGAGGCACCGGCGAGAGGCAUGGCAAUAGUAUCGCAUUAGGGCCUUCCCAUAAAAGGCAAAUGUGGUUGCACUGGAAAAGCUCGGUUCGGUGGCACCUGACCAACUUAAUGACGGAAUUUUACCCCGAAAAUAUAACUGUGAUAACUGAUACUCCGAUAUCACCUAUCAACCUAUAAUCCAAGCCAUAGCAAUAUCCAACAAAUAAUCUAAGCAUAAUAUCACCAUACCAAAAUACUCCAAGGAUAACACUACUAUCAUGAUGAAUCUAAAACAAUAAUACUACUACUCCAAUAUGUAAGAACAAGCUAUCCAGCUAAGAUCCACAUGUAACCAUUAUCUCUGAAAUUAAUACUCCAAGCAACAGUAACAGAACAUCAACUAGCAUCAUGAAAAUAAUCAUACUAACCACUAAUAAUCCAAAGGCAGCAUGACAUCAAAGUAAUACUCCAAAAUAUAAUGCCAGAUAUCAUCAUGAAAACAAUCAUAAUAUCAACCACUAAUACUCCAAUGGCAACAUGAUACUCAUCAACAACAAACAUAACUCCUAGCAAUCCAAACAAUAGCAUGGCAACAACAAGAUCAAAAUAAUACUCCCAGAAAAUGCCAUGGACACAGUCAUGUAACUAAAGCAAUAUUUUAAACAAUUUCCAAUAUAUUAAACCAUGUCACUGCAUUACAGUGAUGCAAAUGGACGGUGUAGCUUGCCUGGGGUGGAAGAAAUCACCGGGAGAAAGUGCGAGAAACUCGCGGAAAGAAUUACCGGAAAUCUUUCUCUCUUGGAGGGGGCUGAAUAAUGGCAGGGGCAAAAUGGUCAUUUUCAGAAUGCUAAAACAUGGUGAGAAUGGUUCCAUCAAAACGAGCUUGACGAAAUGAAUAAGUGGGCUUUGGAUUUACCUCAAACGGAGUUACGGUUGCGGAGUUAUGACGUGUAGAAGAUCAGGGACUUUUCUGCAAAAAUAUCAUCACAACCCGUCCCUGAGUGGAUAAGGCAAAGGCGCAAAAUUAGAAAUACGCUUUCGGUCAGCGAAAACGUAUUCCACGGAAUAUGUUUCCACUAAUCCACGUCAGCGAGGGCGGGGCCGGGGCUUAUCUCACUGCCAGGUGGGACCGCGGGGUCCACGCGCCUGGUCAACGCCCUCCUCCCACCUCCUUCUUCUCCUCGCCGCUCGCCCGACGAAGCAGAGGAUGGGCCUAGCACCGGUGCUCGUCCGGGUGGCUCCGACCAUCAUCUGUCGCGCUCCGAGCACCGGUGGACUUGGCGUUGACCGCCGCAUCCGCUGGUGCAGGACACGGCCACCGGAGAGCAAUGGCUCGAGCAGAGCUUCGGCUGAGGCGGACGGCGGCUCCAGUGAAGUUGGAGAUGGGGCUAUGGUGGAGGACCGAGAUCGGCAGGACAUGGGAAAACCUCGUCGUGGUUGAGGGAUUCCACUCGAGGUGCUAUGGGGAGGGGGAGAGCUCGCCUCGGAGCGAAUUUAGGUGGACAGGGGGUGGCGGCCAUGGCGGCAAUGGCGGGCUCGGGAGUUCUUGGAGCUCAAGGGAGGGGUCGGGGAGGAGUAGUGGAGUGAGGCAAGGCGGGUGGUGAGCUCGGACGAGGCUGGGGAUGGCUAUUUAUAGCCGGGUGAGGGAGGCCGGCUCGGGUGUCGCCGUGGGGAUCCGCCCAACGCUGUGGCAACGGCCAGCGAUCACGGGAGGGCGCUGGAAGGUGACGAGGGAGGCAACGGACGAGCCGCAGUGGUGCACAGGGCAAGAGGGGCCCAAGUCACAGAGGGGAAACGUCCACGGCGCCAUUAAUGCUUGGUCGGCCACAGUGCACCAGUGGGCGCCGGUGACGAACGAUGACGGAGGGCUUACGGAGGGGGAAGAUGGCUCCAGGAGGACGGAGAGACAAGCCCGUGCUCGCUGAGACGCCGAGCAGAGGAGGGGCCCGAGCAAGAAGACGUUCUGGACGCGACCAUUGCAUGCCAAAAUGGUGGUCACCACCAGUACUGGCAUGUGUUGGGAGGCAAACAGCUGGCAAAUGAUGUCUAGGGGUUAGUCCUUCCAGGGUAGGUUUCAACUUUAGUGGUAGCUCAGUUAAAAAUGCUCUGGUUAAAUGAUAAGUGAGCUCUGAAGUUUACUGCAGUAACCUUGAUCAACUAAGUGUGAUCAAGAGAGAGAUUCUAUGGGUCAAGUGUGAUGUCUGGGAUGUUUAGGCUAGGAAGGACUACAGUCCGGGGGAGUUUUAGGAGAAAUGGACCAAGAGUGAAUAUAGUUGCUUCACAACUGCAUUUUUGGUCCAGAAAUGAAGAUCAUGAUGAUGCUCUCACAUAGAGUAUCAACUUAAGCUCAACUUGGGCAAGGCACGGUUAUUUCAUCAUAUGAAGAUGAUGAGAAAGGUUUCAUACCAUUUGGAUAAACCAAAAUGGUACUUCCUUCACAAGCAUCUCCUCUGGACAGAAACUUGCAAAAAUUCUAGAGGGAUAAUGGCUUGAUGAAAUAUGUGUUGGGGAACAUAGUAAUUUCAAAAAAAUCCUACGCACACGCAAGGUCAUGGUGAUGCAUAGCAAUAAGAGGGGAGAGUGUUGUCCAUGUACCCUCAUAGACCGAAAGCGGAAGCGUUAGCACAACGCGGUUGAUGUACUCGUACGUCUUCACGAUCCGACCGAUCCAAGUAUCGAACGUAUGGCACCUCUGAGUUCAGCACGCGUUCAGCUCAAUGACGUCGCAUGAGCUCCGAUCUAGCAGAGCUUUGCGGGAGAGUUUCGUCAGCACGACGGCGUGAUGACAGUGUUGAUGAUGCUACCGUCGCAGGGCUUCGCCUAAGCACCGCUACGAUAUUAUCAAGGUGGAAUAUGGUGGAGGGGGGCACCGCACACGUCUAAGAGAUCAAUGAUCAAUUGUUGUGUCUUGGGGUGCCCCCCUGCCCCCGUAUAUAAAGGAGCUAGGGGGAGGCGGCCGGCCAAGGAGGAGGGCGCGCCAAGGGGGGGAGUCCUACUCCCACCAAGAGUAGGACUCCUCCUUUCCUAGUAGGAGUAGGAGACAAGGAAGGGGAAGAGAGAAGGAAAGGAAGGAGGGGGCGCAUCCCCUCCCCCUAGUCCAAUUCGGACUAGGCCUUGGGGGCGCGUGGCCUGCCCUAGGCUGCCCCUCUCUCUUUCCCGUAUAGCCCAAUAAGGCCCAAUACUUCUUCCGGCGAAUUCCUGUAACUCUCGGGUACUCUGAUAAAUACCCGAAUCACUCGGAACCUUUCCGAUAUCCGAAUAUAGUCGUCCAAUAUAUCGAUCUUUACGUCUUGACCAUUUCAAGACUCCUCGUCAUGUCCCGGAUUUCAUCAAAACACAUAACUCAUAAUACAAAUCAUCACAGAACGUUAAGCGUGCGGACCCUACGGGUUCGAGAACUAUGUAGACAUGACCGAGACUCAUUUCCGGUCAAUAACCAAUAGAGGAACCUAGAUGCUCAUAUUGGCUCCUACAUAUUCUACAAAGAUCUUUAUCGGUCAAACCACAUAACAACAUACGUUGUUCCCUUUGUCAUCGGUAUGUUACUUGCCCGAGAUUUGAUCGUCGGUAUCUCAAUACCUAGUUCAAUCUCGUUACCGGCAAGUCUCUUUACUCGUUAAGUAAUGCAUCAUCCCGUAACUAACUCAUUAGCUAAAUUGCUUGCAAGGCUUAGAGUGAUGUGCAUUACCGAGAGGGCCCCGAGAUACCUCUCUGACAAUCGGAGUGACAAAUCCUAAUCUCGAAAUAUGCCAACUCAACAAGUACCUUCGGAGACACCUGUAGAGCACCUUUAUAAUCACCCAGUUACGUUGUGACUUUUGGUAGCACGCAAAGUGUUCCUCCGGUAAACGGGAGUUGCAUAAUCUCAUAGUCAUAGGAACAUGUAUAAGUCACGAAGAAAGCAAUAACAACAUACUAAAGGAUCAAGUGCUAAGCUAACGGAAUGGGUCAUGUCCAUCACAUCAUUCUCCUAAUGAUGUGAUCCCGUUCAUCAAAGUACAACACAUGUCUAUGGUUAGGAAACAUAACCAUCUUUGAUUAACGAGCUAGUCAAGUAGAGGCAUACUAGGGACUAUAGGUUUUGUUUAUGUAUUCACACAUGUACUAAGUUUCUGGUUAAUACAAUUCUAGCAUGAAUAAUAAACAUUUAUCAUGAAAUAAGGAAAUAAAUAAUAACUUUAUUAUUGCCUCUAGGGCAUAUUUCCUUCAGUCUCCCACUUGCACUAGAGUCAAUAAUCUAGUUCACAUCACGAUGUGAUUUAACACAAAUAUUCACAUCUGUAUGUGAUUAACACCCAUAGCUCACAUCGUCAUGUGACCAACACCCAAAAGGGUUUACUAGAGUCAAUAAUCUAGUUCACAUCACUAUGUGAUUAACACCCAAAGAGUACUAAGGUGUGAUCAUGUUUUGCUCAUGAGAGAAGUUUAGUCAAUGGGUCUGUCACUUUCAGAGCCGUAUAUAUUUUGCAAAUAUUCUAUGUCUACAAUGCUCUGCAUAGAGCUACUCUAGCUAGUUGCUCCCACUUUCAAUAUGUAUCCAGAUUGAGACUUAGAGUCAUCUGGAUCGGUGUAAAAGCUUGCAUCGACGUAAUUUUUACGAUGAACUCUUUAUCACCCCCAUCAUCGAGAAAUGUUUCCUUAGUCCUGCACUAAGGAUAAUUUUGAGUGUUGUCCAUUGAUCUACUCCUAGAUCACUAUUGUACCCUCUUGCCAAACUCCUGGUGAGGUACACAAUAGGUCUGGUACACAACAUAGCAUACUUUAUAGAACCUAUGACUGAGGCAUAGGGAAUGACUUUUCAUUCUCUUUCUAUUUUCUGCCAUGGUCGGGUUUUGAGUCUUACUCAACUUCACACCUUGCAACAUAGGCAAGAACUCCUUCUUUGAUUGUUCCAUUUUGAACUACUUCAAAAUCUUAUGAAGGUAUGUACUCAUUGAAAAAUCUUAUCAAGUGUCUUGAUCUAUCUCUAUAGAUCUUGAUGCUCAAUGUGUAAGCAGCUUCACCGAGGUCUUUCUUUGAAAAAACUCCUUUCAAACACUCCUUUAUGCUUUCUAGAAAAUUCUACAUCAUUUUUGAUCAAUAAUAUGUCAUUCACAUAAACUUAUCAGAAAGGCCGUCGUGCUCCCACUCACUUUCUUGUAAAUACAGGCCUUUCCAAAAGUCUGUAUAAAACCAUAUGCUUUGAUUAACUCAUCAAAGCGUAUAUUCCAACUCCGAGAUGCUUGCACCAGUCCAUUGCUAGAUCGCUGGAGCUUGCACAUUUUGUUAGCACCUUUAGGAUUGACAAAACCUUCUUGUUGUAUCAUAUACAAUAGUUCUUUAAGUAAUAUCCAUUUAAGGAAUGCAGUUUUGACAUCCAUUUGCCAGAUUUCAUAAAAUGUGGCAAUUGCUAACAUGAUUCGGACAGACUUAAGCAUCCUUACGAGUGAGAAAAUCUCAUCAUAUUCAACACCUUGAACUUGUCGAAAACCUUUCACAACAAGUUGACCUUUGUAGAUAGUAACACUACUAUCAGUGUCCAUCUUCCUCUUGAAGAUCCAUUUAUUUAACAUGGCUUGUUGAUCAUUGAGCAAGUCAACCAAAUUCCAUACUUUGUUCUCAUACAUGGAUCAUAUCUCAGAUUUUGUGGCCUCAAGCCAUUUUGCGGAAUCUGGGCUCAUCAUCGCUUCCUCAUAGUUCGUAGGUUCAUCAUGGUCUAGUAACAUGAAUUCCAGAAUAGGAUUACCAUACCACUUUGGUGCGGUUCUUACUCUUGAAGACCUACGAGGUUCGGUAGCAACUUGAUCUGAAGUUUCAUGAUCAUCAUCAUUAACUUCCUCACUAAUUGGUGUAGGAAUCACUAGAACUGAUUCCUGUGAUGAACUACUUUCCAAUAAGACAGAAGGUACAAUUAUCUCAUGAAGUUCUACUUUCCUCCCACUCACUUCUUUCGAGAGAAACUCCUUCUCUAGAAAGGAUCCAUCUUAGAAACGAAUAUCUUGCCUUCGGAUCUGUGAUAGAAGGUGUACCCAACAGUUUCCUUUGGGUAUUCUAUGAAGAAGCACUUCUCCGAUUUGGGUUCGAGCUUAUCAGGUUGAAACUUUUUCACAUAAGCAUCGCAACCCCAAACUUUAAGAAACGACAACUUUGGUUUCUUGCCAAACCACAGUUCAUAAGGCAUCAUCUCAACGGAUUUUGAUGGUACCCUAUUUAAAGUGAAUGCAGCUGUCUCUAAUGCAUAACACCAAAAUGACAGUGGUAAAUCGGUAAGAUACAUCAUAUAUCACACUAUAUCCAAUAAAGUGCAGUUACGACGUUCGGACACACCAUAACGCUGUGGUGUUCCAGGUGGCGUGAGCUGUGAAACUAUUCCACAUUGUUUUAUAUGAAGGCCAAACUCGUAAUUCAAAUAUUCUCCUCCACGAUCAGAUCGCAGAAAGUUUUAUUUUCUUGUUACGAUGAUUCUCCACUACACUCUGAAAUUCUUUGAACUUUUCAAAUGUUUCAGACUUGUGUUUCAUUUAAGUAGAUAUACCCAUAUCUGUUUAAAUCAUCUGUGAAGGUCUAAAAAUAGCGAUACCCGCCACGAGCAUCAACACUCAUUGGACCGCAUACAUUGGUAUGUAUUAUUUCCAAUAAGUCAGUAGAUCGUUCCAUUGUUCCGAAGAAUGGAGUUUUAGUCAUCUUGCCCAUAAGGCACGGUUCGCAAGCAUCAAAUGAUUCAUAAUCAAGUGAUUCCAAAAGUCCAUCUUUAUGGAGUUUCUUCAUGCGCUUUACACCGAUAUGACCCAAACGACAGUGCCACAAAUAAGUUGCACUAUCAUUAUCAACUUUGCAUCUUUUGGCAUCAAUAUUAUUAAUAUGUGUAUUACCACGAUCAAGAUCCAACAAACUAUUUUCAUUGGGUGUAUUACCAUCGAAGGUUUUAUUCAUAUAAACAGAACUACAAUUAUUCUUUGACUUUAAAUGAAUAACCAUAUUGCAAUAAACAUGAUCAAAUCAUAUUCAUGCUUAACGCAAACGCCAAAUAACAUUUAUUUAGGUUUCAACACUAACCCCGAAAGCACAGGGAGUGUGCGAUGAUGAUCAUAUCAAUCUUGGAACCACUUCCAACACACAUCAUCACUACACCCUCAACUAGUCUCUGUUUAUUCUGUAACUCCUGUUUCGAGUUACUAAUAUUAGCAACCGAACAAGUAUCAAAUACUCAAGGGAUACUAUAAACACUAGUAAGGUACACAUCAAUAACAUGUAUAUGAAAUAUACCCUUGUUCACUUUGCCAUCCUUCUUAUCCACCAAAUAUUCAGGGUAUUUCCGCUUCUAGUGACCAUUUCUUUUGCAGUACAAGCACUCAGUUUCAGGCUUUGGUCUAGCUUUGGGCUCCUUCACGGGAGCGACAACUUGCUUGCCAUUCUGCUUGAAGUUCCCUUUCUUUCCCUUUGCCCUUUUCUUGAAACUAGUGGUCUUGUCAAUCAUCAACACUUGAUGCUCUUUUCUUGAUUUCUACCUUCGUUGAUUUCAGCAUCACAAAGAGCUCGGGAAUCGUUUUCAUCAUCCCUUGCAUUAUAGUUCAUCACGAAGUUCUAGUAACUUGGUGAUGGUGACUAGAGAACUCUGCCAAUCACUAUCUUAUUUGGAAGAUUAACUCCCACUUGAUUCAAGCGAUUAUAGUACUCAGACAAACUAAGUACUUGCUCACUAGUUGAGAAAUUCUCCUCCAUCUUUUAGGCAAAGUAUUUGUCAGAGGUCUCAUACCUCUUGACACGGGCAUGAGUCUGAAAUACCAAUUUCAUCCCUUGAAACAUCUCAUAUGUUCCGUGACAUUUCAAAAAAUGUUUUUGUAGUCCCGGUUCUAAGCCAUAAAGCAUGGUGCACAAAACUAUCAAGUAGUCAUCAUAUUGAGCUAGCCAAAUGUUCAUAACAUCCGCAUCUGCUCCUGCAUAGGUCUAUCACCUAGCGAUGCAUCAAGGACAUAAUUCUUCUGUGCAGCAAUGAGGAUAAAUCUCAGAUCACGGACCAAGUCCGCAUCAUUGCUACUAACAUCUUUCAACAUAGUUUUUCUCUAGGAACAUAUAAAAAACAUAGGGAAGCUAUAACGCGAGCUAUUGAUCUACAACAUAAUUUGCAAAAUACUAUCAGGACUAAGUUCAUGAUAAAUUCAAGUUCAGUUAAUCAUAUUACUUAAGAACUCCCACUUAGAUAGACAUCCCUCUAAUCAUCUAAGUGAUCACGUGAUCCAAAUCAACUAAACCACGUCCGAUCAUCACGUGAGAUCGAGUAGUUUUCAAUGGUGAACAUCACUAUGUUGAUCAUAUCUACUAUAUGAUUCACGCUAGACCUUUCAGUCUCAGUGUUCCGAGGCCAUAUCUGUAUAUGCUAGGCUCAUCAAGUUUAACCUGAGUAUUCCGCGUGUGCAACUGUUUGGCACCCGUUGUAUUUGAACGUAGAGCCUAUCACACCCGAUCAUCAUGUGGUGUCUCAGCACGAAGAACUUUCACAACGGUGCAUACUCAGGGAGAACACUUAUACCUUGAAAUUUAGUGAGAGAUCAUCUUAUAAUGCUACUGCCAAUCAAAGCAAGAUAAUAUGCAUAAAGGAUAAACAUCACAUGCAAUCAAUAUAAUUGAUAUGAUAUGGCCAUCAUCAUCUUGUGCUUGUGAUCUCCAUCUCUGAAGCACCGUCAUGAUCACCAUCAUCACCGGCGCGACACCUUGAUCUCCAUUGUAGCAUCGUUGUCGUCUCGCCAACUAUUGCUUCUACGACUAUCGCUACCGCUUAGUGAUAAAGUAAAGAAAUUACAGGGCGAUUGCAUUGCAUACAAUAAAGCAACAACCAUAUGGCUCCUACCAGUUGCUGAUAACUUGGUUACAAAACAUGAUCAUCUCAUACAAUAAAAUAUAGCAUCAUGUCUUGACCAUAUCACAUCACAACAUGCCCUGCAAAAACAAGUUAGACGUCCUCUACUUUGUUGUUGCAAGUUUUACGUGGUUGUUACGGGCUGAGCAAGAACCGUUCUUACCUACGCAUCAAAACCACAACGAUAGUUUGUCAAGUUAGUGUUGUUUUAACCUUCUCAAGGACCGGGCGUAGCCACACUCAGUUCAACUAAAGUUGGAGAAACUGACACCCGCCAGCCACCUAUGUGCAAAGCACGUCGGUAGAACCAGUCUCGCGUAAGUGUACACGUAAUGUUGGUCCGGGCCGCUUCAUCCAACAAAACCGCCGAACCAAAGUAUGACAUGUUGGUAAGUAGUAUGACUUGUAUCGCCCACAACUCACUUGUGUUCUACUCGUGCAUAUAACAUCUACGCAUAAAACCUGGCUCGGAUGCCACUGUUGGGGAUCGUAGUAAUUUCAAAAAAAAUCCUACGCACACGCAAGACCAUGGUGAUGCAUAGCAACGAGAGGGGAGAGUGUUGUCCAUGUACCCUCGUUGACCGAAAGCGGAAGCGUUAGCACAACGCGGUUGAUGCAGUCGUACGUCUUCAUGAUUCGACUGAUCCAAGUACCGAACGUAUGGCACCUCCGAGUUCAGCACACGUUCAACUCGAUGACGUCCCACGAACUUCGAUCCAGCACAGCUUUGCGGGAGAGUUCCGUCAGCACGACGGUGUGAUGACGGUCUUGAUGAUGCUACCGUCAUAGGGCUUCGCCUAAGCACCGCUACGAUAUUACCGAGAUGGAAUAUGGUGGAGGGGGCACCUCACACGGCUAAGAGAUCAAUGAUCAAUUGUUGUGUCUUAGGGUGCCCCCUGCCCCCGUAUAUAAAGGAGCUAGGGGGGAGGCGGUCGGCCAAGGAGGAGGGCGCGCCUAGGGGGGAGUCCUACUCCCACCGGGAGUAGGACUCCUCCUUUCCUAGUAGGAGUAGGAGAGAAGGAAGGGGAAGAGAGAAGGAAAGGAAGGAGGGGGCGCAGCCCCACCCCCUAGUCCAAUUCGGACUAGGCCUUGGGGGGCGCAUGGCCUGCCCUAGGCAGCCCCUCUCUCCUUCCCGUAUAGCCAAAUAAGUCCCAAUACUUCUCCCAGCGAAUUCCCGUAAAUCUCCGGUACUCCGUUAAAUACCCGAAUCACUCGGAACCUUUCCGAUGUCUGAAUAUAGUCGUCCAAUAUAUCGAUCUUUACGUCUCGACCAUUUUGAGACUCCUCGUCAUGUCCCCGAUUUCAUCCGGGACUCCAAACUACCUUCGGUACAUCAAAACACAUAACUCAUAAUACAAAUUAAGCGUGCGGACCCUACGGGUUCGAGAACUAUGUAGACAUGACCGAGACUCAUUUCCGGUCAAUAACCAAUAGCGGAACCUGGAUGCUCAUAUUGGCUCCUACAUAUUCUACAAAGAUCUUUAUCGGUCAAACCGCAUAACAACAUACGUUGUUCCCUUUGUCAUCGGUAUGUUACUUUCCCGAGAUUUGAUCGUCGGUAUCUCAAUACCUAGUUCAAUCUCGUUACCGGCAAGUCUCUUACUCGUUACGUAAUGCAUCAUCUCGUAACUAACUCAUUAGUUACAUUGCUUGCAAGGCUUAUAGUGAUGUGCAUUACCAAGAGGGCUCCGAGAUACUUCUCCGACAAUCGGAGUGACAAAUCCUAAUCUCGAAAUACGCCAACUCAACAAGUACCUUCGGAGACACCUGUAGAGCACGUUUAUAAUCACCCAGUUACGUUGUGACGUUUGGUAGCACACAAAGUGUUCCUCCGGUAAACGGGAGUUGCAUAAUCUCAUAGUCAUAGGAACAUGUAUAAGUCAUGAAGAAAGCAAUAGCAACAUACUAAACAAUCAAGUGCUAAGCUAACUGAAUGGGUCAUGUCCAUCACAUCAUUCUCCUAAUGAUGUGAUCCCGUUCAUCAAAUGACCACACAUGUCUAUGGUUAGGAAACAUAACCAUCUUUGAUUAACGAGCUAGUCAAGUGGAGGCAUACUAGGGACUAUAGGUUUUGUCUAUGUAUUCACACAUGUACUAAGUUCCUGGUUAAUACAAUUCUAGCAUGAAUAAUAAACAUUUAUCAUGAAAUAAGGAAAUAAAUAAUAACUUUAUUAUUGCCUCUAGGGCAUAUUUCCUUCAAUAUGCCCAAAAUGGGUGGAGAUAUGUUUUAUGGGUAUAAGAAUGAUCUGUUAAUUUAUCAGGAUUUUUGAAGCAAUAUAAAAUACACUUGCUUCACAGCUUGAAAAUAUUGCCAUAACCAAAGAUUUACCCCUGUGCUCACAUAGAUGAUUGGAUGUGGCUGCAAAUGGGUGGAGGGGGUUAAUAUGAGCACAUUAAGGAGUGUGAAAAAGUACAACUCAUUUGGAUAUUCCUAGCUAGUACUUCCUUCACAAUGGCUUCUGUUUGAUAGAAACUUUGAAAAAAUGCUGAGGAAGAUUGGCUAGGCAAAUAAAGUUGAACUUGUGCAUGAGGUAAUUAUUUGGACAUAUAAGCAUGCCCAAGGAGUUUGGGAGCAAUCAAGAAAAUAUAGGUGGCACUUCCUUCACAGAAAACCACACUAGAAAGAAAUGAAGAAUAAUUAUUGGGGAAUUAUUUUUGAACUGGGAAAUGUUUGGGCAUAUUUGAGCUAUAUAUGACCCAAAGGAAUUAUGAGAAUUAUUUGAGAAUUUUGGAAGAACAGAAAUAUAGGUUGCUUCACAACCUAGGGCAGAUAGGGUUAUUCCUUUAAUGAAAAAGGAAUUUUCCCUAGAAAAGAAUUUUAGUGUUUAGUCAAGGAGUGAAGUGACAUGAUCUUGGCAAGGUUUUGAGAAUGAUGAGCCACUUGGGAGGGGGAAUGAGGAUGAUUUCCCAUGUGGCAAGGCCACAGAACCACUCCAAAAAGAAAAACAGAGCAGAAACCAAAUAAAUCAAAAGAAAAAGAAAAGGGCCAAAAUCCAGGCUGUUAUAUCGUCUUCCAGUGGGACUCCUGGCUCUUCCUCGACUCCGUCACUCACUGACCAGGACAUUGUGAGGCUCAAGCGUCUCUUGGCUUCCUCAGGCUCUUCAUCUACCAGUAUCGCUACUGCUGUGACUGCAUUCACUUCUCCACCACCGCAGGCAUCUACAUAGUCAGGUACCUCUUCGUGGGUUCUUGAUUCUGGAGCCUCCUUUCAUAUGUCUUCUGAUUCUUCUGUGUUGUCUUCUCUUUGACCCCUUGAUUCGCCUGUUAAUGUUCUUACUGCCGAUGGCAUACCUCUUCCUGUUACUAGUCGUGGUCUUCUUUCCACUCCAUCCUUUUCUAUUCCUAGUGUUUCACAUGUUCCUCGCCUUACCAUGAAUCUUUUUUCCGCUGCCCAACUUACUAAUUAUGGUUGUCGUGUCAUUCUUGAUACAGACUCUUACUCCAUCCAGGAUCAUCGCACCAAGACUUUGGUUGGUGCUCGCCCCCGGCGUUGUCAAUCAGAGGUCCUCUGGGAGGUUGGUUGGCUUUGUGUUCCCUCCGCUGCCACCACUUCUGCCAGCUCCCAUGCUCUUGCUGCCUCUUCGUCUGCAUCCUUCCAGCAGUGGCAUCAUCGCCUUGGUCACAUCUAUGGUUCUCGCCUGUCUUCUUUAGUUCAUCAGAGCCUAUUAGGGUCUGUAUCUUGAGAUGUUUCCUUACAUUGUAAUGGUUGCAGACUUGGCAAAUAGACUCAGUUACCUUAUCCUAGUAGCGAGUCUGUAUCUCAGCGUCCUUUUGACUUAGUUCAUUCUAAUGUCUGGGGUCCUGCUCCCUUUGAUUCGAAAGGUGGUCAUCGCUACUAUGUUUUGUUUAUUGAUGAUUUCUCUCGCUACACUUGGAUCUACUUCAUGAAAUCUCGUAGCGAGGUUCUCUCUAUAUACAAACGAUUUGCUGCCAUGGUUCACACUCAGUUUUCCACGCCCAUUCGUCCUUUCGUGCUGACUCCGCUGGAGAGUAUAUCUCCCAGCUGUUGCGUGGUUUUCUCGCGGAACAGGGUACUCUUGCCCAGUUCUCAUGUCCUGGUGCUCAUGCUCAGAACGGCAUUGCCGAACGUAAGCAUCACCAUCUGCUUGAGACGGCUCGUGCGCUGAUGAUCGUCGCUUCUCUUCCACCACACUUUUGGGUUGAGGCUGUUUCUGCUUCCACCUAUCUCAUCAACAUUCAGCCAUCGACUGCUAAACAGGGUGGUAUUCCUAUGGAGUGUCUCACUGGUCGAUCUCCUGACUACUCAGCUCUUUGUAUGUUUGGAUGUGUGUGUUAUGUCCUUCUUGCCCCACGCGGACGUACCAAACUGACUGCUCAGUCGGUUGAGUGUGUUUUCCUUGGCUAUAGUGAUGAGCACAAGGGUUAUCGCUGUUGGGACCAUGUUGGUCGACGCUUGCGUAUCUCGUGUGAUGUGACCUUUGAUGAGUCUCGCUCUUACUACCCAUGUUCUUCUUCCUCGAGCUUCUAUGUGGACGAUAUUUCUUUUCUUCUUCUUCCCGAUACACCCUGCUAUAUGCCUCAUGUUUCACCUCCUCCUCCUUCACCUCUCCUUCACCACCGACCCCUUCUUCACCGUCCUCCUCCUCCACCUCUCCACCAUCAUCUCCAGUCUGUCGCCCUCUAUCACCGUUUCCUCUCCACUAUACUCGUCGCCCUUGUUUUGAGGAUGCUUCCCUUGACACGCCUUCCACCUUUGGUGCAUCUUCCUUCAUGUCUCCCCCGGUUCAUAACCUUCGUGCUCGGCCUCACCCCCUGCCUAAUCACUAUGCACCUGAUCGGUACGGUCUCUCUGUUAUUGUUGAGCCCACCUCCUAUCGGACUGCCAUGACUCAACCUGAAUGGCAGCUUGCGAUGGCUGAAGAGCUUGCUGCCCUUGAGCGCUCUGGCACAUGGGAUCUGGUUUCUCUUCCUUCUGGUGUUCGUACCAUCACCUUCAAGUGGGUCUACAAGAUUAAGACUCGCUCUGAUGGUUCUCUUGAGCGCUACAAAGCGCGCCUUGUGGCCCGUGGGUUUCAGCAAGAGUAGGGACGUGAUUAUGAUGAGACAUUCGCUCUUGUGGCCCACAUGACCACUAUUCGCACUCUUCUUGUUGUGGCUUCUGUUCGUCAUUGGUCUAUCUCUCAACUUGAUGUUCAGAAUGCUUUUCUCAAUGGCGAGUUGCGUGAGGAGGUUUAUAUGCAGCCACCACCGGGGCACUAUGCUCCUGAUGGUAUGGUAUGUAGACUUCGUUGCUCCCUCUAUGGUCUCAAACAGGCCCCUCGCGCCUGGUUUGAGCGCUUCGCCUCUGUGGUGACUGACGCUGGUUUCUUGCCCAGUGAUCAUGAUCCCGUGUUGUUUGUUCACACGUCUCCUCGUGGUCGGACUCUUCUUCUUCUCUAUGUUGAUGCCAUGGUCAUCACUGGUGAUGACUCUGACUACAUUGCCUUUGUUAAGGCUCGCUUUCAUGAUGACUGAUCUUGGUCCACUUUGCUAUUUUCUUGGGAUUGAGAUUUCCUCCACCUCUGAUGGCUUCUACAUCUCCCAAGAAAAAUAUAUUUAGGAUCUUCUUGCUCGCACUGCUCUCGGUGAUGAGCGCACAGUUGUGACUCCCAUGGAGCUCAACGUGCAGCUUCGUGCCUCUAAUGGUGACCCCCUUCCUAAUCCGAUUCGCUAUCGUCACCUUGUUGGAAGCCUUGUCUAUCUUGUUGUUACACGCCCUGACAUCUCCUAUCAUGUCCACAUCCUGAGUCAGUUUGUCUCUGCCCCACCUCUGUCCAUUAUAGUCAUCUCCUCCAUGUUUUACGAUAUCUUCGUGUCACGAUCUCUCAGCGCCUUUUCUUUCCCCGCUCCAGCUCUCUUGAGCUCCAGGCCUACUCUUAUGCUACCUGGGCUAGUGAUCCCUCUGAUCGAUGCUCGUUGUCUGCUUAUUGUGUCUUUCUUGGUGACUCUCUCAUUGCCUAGAAGACAAACAAACAGACUGCAGUUUCUCGCUCGAGUAUAGAGGCUGAGUUGUGAGCCAUGCUAUGUUGACGGCUGAGGUGAUCUGGUUCUCAUGGUUACUUGAGGAUUUUGGUGUGUCUGCUACUACCUCGACUCCCUUACUGUCAGACAGUACUGGUGCUAUCAGUAUUGCGUGUGACCCGGUGAAGCAUGAGCUCACUAAGCACAUUGGUGUGGAUGCCCACUUUGUGCGUGCUGCUGUGCAAGAUCAGACUCUUGCUCUUCACUAUGUGCCCUCUAAGUUGCAGUUGGCGGACUUCUUCACGAAGGCAUAGACUCGAGCGCAGCAUGGUCUUUUUCCUCUCCAAACUCAGUGUUGUUGAACCACCAUGAGUUUGAGGGGAGGUGUUAGAUAUGUAUAGUCUCUGUCUGGUAUAUCCCCAUUGUAUAAGGGGUUGCCCGCACUUUGUCACACAUGUAUAUGUAAUGGCUUUUGGCCCUCAGUAAAGUCAGUUGCUCACUUAUCCAACACCCGUCUGGGUCGAAAUUUCAUGACCGGAUAGUGACCGGGUGGCCCGCCCGGGCGUAUGAGGCGGGUUUGAGGUGCCCGGUUGUAGAUGCUCUUAGCAUAUAAAAUUAAUUAUCCCCACAACUGUGAUAAUUACAUUAUUUCUAUUUUGGUGUGUUUGGAAGAAAAUUAGAUUGUAAGCAAAAAUUCCUUGAGCAUAUAGUGUUUGUCAUACCAAAUGGUUUAACAAACAUGCAUGAGAUAUUCCAUUUAUAAUUCAGGUGUACCUUGAUGCAAAACGAGGAUCUGCAAAACUUCAAAUGUGGAUGAAGGACUAACCUUAUUGGUAUAUUUUUGUCUCUUUAACUGAGAUCACACCUCCUAGCCUUGCAUCCGUGAAUGCACAAGGUUAUGCUUUUUAUUUAAGUUGAUGCAAACCAACGAGCUCAAAUCAUUGACAAGCGUAUUGCAUUGAACACACAACAAUGGGUGAAUCAUUGUCGGUGUACAAAAGUAUGGGCUCUCCUUUUGACCCGUUUACUUGUGCACGGGCAGUCAGAGCCACCCGCCACGGCCACGCGUAACAGGGCAAGGGAGGGAAGCUGGAGAGAAGCUAAAGGCAUGAAGCAAACAAAGCAAAAUCAAGGACUAAGGCCAUAGAGACCGGAUAGGCGAAUCAAGUUUCCCUGGCAAGGACUCUUGCCGGGGCAGCCCCGGCAAGAACCUUGCCGGGGCAGCUCGCCCACACCAAUGGAGCAAGCCACCUUCAAGCCCACCAUCUCCAACACCAACAAACACAUUGGGACAGGACUCAGGAGGCACCUCCAUGGUGGCAUGUAGAUCUUUGUGAAGACAAAGGAUAUUCAAGAUCAGAUGAGAAUUGAAAGGCAAUGAUCCUCGGCAGGGUUCUUGCCGAGGAAACCUACAAGACCCCCGGCAAGGUCCUUGCCGAGGAUAACAGCACGCCACGGCAAGACCCUUGUCGGGCCACCCGGCAAGACCUUUGCCAAGGGCACCAGCGGGGCCACUGCCAUGCCCACACCAACCAAGCCUCUGCCGCCGUUCGCAUGCAGCUGCCGACCCAACCAGCUAGGCAGGCACCUGCGUGGCAGCAUGCAGCCCUUCGUGGAGGCUCCACCACCGCGCCACCUUAGUUGCUUACCUGCCUACAUGGCACCGCAUGCAUCGCUGGCCAGUGCGCGUGUCAAAGCAAGGAGGAGCGGCGACGGACGGAACGGGCCUCGCCCCCGUCCCUGAUAAAGUGAAGGGACACCUAAGCCACACAUUAAAUGCGUCUUGUCCUAUAAUACGGGCGAUAAGCUCGCAGCGCUGUAGAACUUUCCACCUCCUGUGUGCCACUAUGGCAGCCCCUUUCGCCUAUAAAAGGAGGCCCAUGGCGCACUAGAAAAGGAUUCGGCUCUUUGGAACCAGGCAGCACCCAUAGCUAGUUCGAGAGCUCAAGAACACUGAAUAUAUCCACCAAAGCAGGACUGUAGGGUUUUACGCAUCCUUGCGGCCCGAACCUGGGUAAACCAUCUUUGUGCUGAUUACUAGUCCUGCUCUUCUCACAACCCCGCGCCUCGCAACCGUAGUAGAGAUUCUUGUGAUCCCAUAGGUGUCGUUUCCCACCGACAUCUUUGGCGCGCCACGUAGGGGGCGCUAUUGUGAGAAUCUGGUCUAGUAGUUCGCCCAGCAGUUCAUCAUCGCCAUGGCUCCUAAGAAGAAGACGACCAUGGCAAUCGGUUCGUCCGGGACCGUACUGCCAGUACCGGCGGACCAGUAGCGGGCCAGUCAUGGAGAGAACCCGUGGCGCGGACCACGAACACCCACAUCACCCUGGCGGUCCAGGCCCGGUGGGCGGCACCGUUCGUAUGACAGACGACGAGCCGUGCGGCGCUGGCUCUAGAGNNNNNNNNNNNNNNNNNNNNNNNNNNNNNNNNNNNNNNNNNNNNNNNNNNNNNNNNNNNNNNNNNNNNNNNNNNNNNNNNNNNNNNNNNNNNNNNNNNNNNNNNNNNNNNNNNNNNNNNNNNNNNNNNNNNNNNNNNNNNNNNNNNNNNNNNNNNNNNNNNNNNNNNNNNNNNNNNNNNNNNNNNNNNNNNNNNNNNNNNNNNNNNNNNNGGCGCAGGGCCCUCCAGGGGUGUCGUCAUGCCGCCAACUGGUGGCACGACGACCUCCAAGACGCCAACGCCAGCACCCACGGUGCGCUCUUCUCAGGUCGUGCGCUAUGAGCAGCGCCGCCCUGCUGAUGACCCUGGGCGCCGCCCUGGGAAGAGUCCCAUGCGCCCCUCACAGGAUGAGGGGGGCCAGCAUGCGCAUCGAGGCGCUGACAAAGGUGGCGGACGGCUGCGGGGCUGUGAUGGGGCUCCUUCUAACAUGGUUAGAAGUCAAAGCGCAUUGCAGUCCACCCAGCUCUCGCCACCGCCCACGCCAGCAGAAGCCCUGGCACGUGCGCAGCUGCUUCUCGACUUUCCUCCCACCAAAGAGAAGCUUGACGAAUGGAGGGCCACUGUCCGGAGCCUCAUCGGCAUCGCCAACAACGACGAGUUGCGGCCGAAGGGACCCGCAGGUCGUCGCUCCAUCGAGCCGCUGCAUGCCAGCGGAGGUCGGGCCGGGGGCGAUGCGGCCAUGGUGCACUUCCCUCCUCCGCACUGGCCACUGCGGGUGAUGACCCGUCGUGACGAUGCUCGUGAUGAUAUUUCCAUCGCGUCGUCCGACCCGCUAACCCACCGCGACCAGCGCCAAGUUCUUCGGGAGCGAGCUCAUGAAGACGCUUGAACCACCAUCGAGCGCCAACGUGACGCACGCCACCAGUCGGGCAGGCGGGCAGGGCCCACUACGGACCACCCAGCACCGGGAGGCUAUGGUGACCUACCCUACAAGGUGGGUUGCCCAGCCUUCACCCGUGAGCUGCAGCAGUUCCAGUGGCCCUCCCACCGCACGUUCAAACCCGACGUUGGUGAGAAGUACAACGGCAAGACUCACCCGUCGGAGUUCCUCAGCAUCUACACCAUUGCGAUGCAAGCUGUUGGGGCCCGCGAUGAUAAGGUGCUUGCCAACUACUUCUUGUUGGCACUCAAGCCUAAUGUUAUGUCAUGGUUGAUGCACUUGCCAAUGGACUCCAUUUCCUCUUGGGCGGAUCUGUGCCAUGAGUUUGUUGGCGCCUUUACCGGAGGCCACCAAGCUCAUGGCCAGGCGAGUGACUUGCACAUCAUCCCCUAGAAGGAAGGAGAAAACUUGCGUAAGUACAUCCAAAGGUUCAGUCGAGUGCAGUACAACAUCCCCGACGUCCAUCAUGCCGCUGUGAUCAGUGAAUUCCACCAGAAUGUGCACAACCGCAAGAUGCGUGAGGAGUUGGUGAUGAACAAGGUCAAGGAUGUGGCCGAGCUUUAUGUUCUGGCCGAUCGAUGCGCUCGCGCUGAAGAGGGGAGGAAGUACCCUGGCGAAGAUGCCGGCACGAAAACCGACUCCACGGGCGAUACCGCCACCCCGGCGAAGAAGGGCCGGCGCCGUAACAGGAAGCACAAGGGCAAGGCCAUGCUUGCCGUCGAGGGAUCCGACGACACCGGCGCCACCAAGAAGACCAAGGGUGGCGACCCCGACAAGGAGGUUGCCGGGUGUGUUGCUUGUCGGGCCUUGGCGGCUGCCGACAAGCCAGGGGGCUCCGACAAGCAGUAUUGCAAGAUCCACCGCACCAAGGGUCGUGACCUCCAAAACUUCCGGCAAGUAGAGCUGCUCGUUGAGAAGCAGAAGGCCGAGUAUGAGCGGCGGGACAAGGAGAAGGGCCAAGAGGGUGCCGAGGGAUCCGGCAAGAAACAUGGCGGCCAAGGAGGCCGCCGUGGCAAAGAUAGUCAGCAGGAGAGGCCCGCCCGGGGCCGUGACAAGAAGCAGGAAGACGAUGAUCAUGACGAGGACGAUGAGUCCGGUGACCACGAGUUCCAAAAAGCCAUAGAAGCCAUGUGCGUCGAUGGUGGCGCCUCACUGCAUACAUCCCAUCGCCAGCUCAAGCAGUCAGCGGUGGAGCCAUCGUUCGAUGCACGGAAGCCGCUGAAAUGGUCCAGCACGCCCAUCAUCUUCGACACCGAGGACCACCCUGACCGCACUACUGCGGUCGGGUGCUUGCCGUUGUUGGUUUCACCAACGAUCCGCAACCUCAAGGUGACAAAAAUGUUGGUUGACGGCGGGGCCGGUCUGAACUUGAUCUCACCUGUUGUGGUCAAGAGGCUGUAGAUCCCUGAUGAAGACCUCGAGGAGACGGGCAUGUUCCAAGGGGUUAACCGGGAGGAGCUAGCCAAAGGGAAAGGUCACGCUGCCCGUGAUGUUCGAAGGCGAAAUGAACCACAGGACGCAGAGGAUUGUUUUUUAUGUAGCCGAGAUCCCCUUGCCCUACAAUGGGAUCCUCGGCCGCCCGACACAAGCCAAGUUCAUGGCGGCAUCACACUACGCCUACAACAUGCUGAAGAUGCCCGGGCUGAUGAACAUCAUCACCGUCCCCUCUGACAAGAAAGAUGCAUUGAUUUGCGCCGACCAACUCUACCGGGAAGCGGUUGCAGCAGCUACCGCUAAGGCACCUACUCCUGCCGACGGAGCCCCGGGAGGGAAGAAGACCGGCUAGACCCCUCACCCACUCCGGCAAGCGCACCUCUUUGGGGUGUUGCGCUCCUGUUGAGGACAUGCCAGAGAGAUCCGCCGGCAAGAGCAAGAAGUCCAGAGCUGCACCACCAGAGACCAAGAAGGUGCCCGUCAAGGAGGACGGCACGGGUGGGGCUUUUACCAUAAGCUCCACCCUCGAUAGCAAAUAGGAAAGCGAGCUCGUCACUUUCCUGUGGGCAAAUGUCGAUGUGUUUGCAUGGCAAGCCUCUGACAUCCCCGGCGUUCCCAGGGAAGUGAUUGAGCACCAUCUUGUUGUCUAUCCUCAUGUGCGGCCCGUCAAGCAGAAGGUCAGGAAGCAAGCUCUAGAGAGGCAUGAGUUCAUCACAGAGGAGAUCAGGAAGCUAGAGGCGGCAGGCUUGGUAAGAGGAGUACUCCAUCCGACGUGGCUGGCCAUUCCGGUAGUAGUGCGCAAGGCAAACGGGAAGUGGAGACUGUGUAUUCAUUAUAAAGACAUCAAUAAGGCUUGUCCAAAGGAUCCCUUCCCGUUACCGCGCAUCGACCAGAUUGUUGACUCCAUGACUGGGUGUGACCUGUUGUCAUUCCUCGACGCCUACUCAGGGUACCACCAGAUCUUCAUGACAAAAGAGGACGAGGAUAAGACAGCAUUCAUCACCCAUGUGGUACGUAUUGCUUUUUACGGAUGCCUUUCGGGUUGAAGAGUGAUGGCUCAGCCUUUGCAAGAGCAGUCCAAAUUGGUUUUGAGCCCCAGCUACAUAGAAAUAUGGAAGCUUAUAUGGAUGACAUAGUGGUCAAAACCAAGGACAAAGCAACACUUGUGCAAGAUCUGAAGGAAACAUUUGGAAACCUGCGCAAGAUCAACCUCAAAUUGAACCCUGAGAAGUGUGUCUUCGGUGUCCCGUCCGGCAAGCUUCUUGGGUUCUUUGUGUCACGGCGCGGGAUUGAGGCAAACCCAGACAAGAUCAGGGUCAUCGAGCAGAUUGAGGCACCCAAACGGAUCAAGGACGUGCGUCGGCUCACUGGCUGCAUUGUCGCCAUGAGCAGAUUCAUCUCCAAGUCUGUGGAGCGUGCCCUUCCCUUUUUCAAGAUCUUGAAGAAGACGGGCCCAGUAGAGUGGACCCCAGAGGCCGAGGCGGCGCUGCAAGACUUGAAGAAGUACCUCUCUCUGCCCCGGUGCUGGUUGCGCCCAAACCACAGGAACCGUUGCUGCUAUAUCUAGCGGCAACAAAUCCAGUGGUUAGCGCUGCAUUAGUGGUGUAGAGAGAGGUCGAUGAAGAGGCAGCGGCAGCGGCAGAGUCAACGGAUGGUGGGCUAGAAUCCUCCCUGGCAAGGCUCGGUCCCGGCAAGACUGAGUCCCUGGUAGGGGCUGACGCCAGUAUGGCAGGCCCCGCACGGCUGGGUGAAGUGGCGCAAAAGAAGAAGAUGGUGCAGCACCCGGUUUACUUUGUCAGCUCCCUCUUGCAGGGAGCUAGGUCGAGGUACUCAGGUGUGCAAAAAUUGCUCUUCGGCCUCCUUAUGGCCUCGAGGAAGCUGCGCCAUUACUUCCAAGUGCAUGAAAUCACCAUGGUUACCCACCUCCCGUUGCAACGGAUACUGCAUAACCCAGAUGUAAUGAGGAGGAUCAUGGAAUGGGCCCUGGAGCUGUCGAGCUUCGGUUUAAGGUUUGAAAGUACCUUGACAAUUCAAAGCAGAGUCUUGGCGGAGUUUGUUGCAGAAUGGACCUUGACGCCUGACGAAGAGGUACAGGAGACCACUCUCCCCGGCAAGGAAACAAGCCGCAACUGGAUCAUGUACUUUGAUGGGGCCUUUUCACUGCAAGGCGCCGGUGCUGGUGUGCUGCUUGUCGCACCCACCGGAGAGCACCUCAAGUACGUCAUCUAAAUGCAUUUUCCCCGGGAGAUGUCAACCAAUAACACCACCGAGUACGAGGGUUUGCUUGCCGGUCUCAGGAUCGCGGCGGACCUCGGAGUCAAAAAGCUCAUCGUCAGGGGCGACUCGCAACUCGUCGUUAGACAGAUCAACAAAGAUUACCAAAGCCCGUUGAUGGAGGCCUACGUGGAUGAGGUGAGGAAUCUAGAGGAGCACUUUGAUGGUAUACAAGCGAAGCACGUCCCUCGGACAGAGAACGACAUCGCCGACUACUUGUCAAAGCGCGCCGCCCUCAAGCUACCUGUGGAACCAGGUACUUUUGUGCUUCAGCUAACUCAGCCAUCCGUCGAACCAUCAGCCAGGCAGAACAAGUGGAGGAAGCUAGGUCCCAGCAAGUACUUCCCCACCGAGCUCCCCGGAUCCACUGGCGAGGAUGUUGUCGUGGAUGCCGAUCCUGCCAUGGGGCAGCCAACUCUGGCAGGGCCUCAGGCCAUGGCCGUAGAGACGACCGCUCCCAUGGCGGAAGAGAUGCCUUUAGUCCUUGUCGUUGAGCCACAUGCUCCGGCUGUUGGAAAUAUGCCCUAGAGGCAAUAAUAAAAUGGUUAUUAUUGUAUUUCCUUGUUCAUGAUAAUUGUCUAUUAAUCAUGCUAUAAUUGUAUUAACUGGAAACUGUAAUACAUGUGUGAAUACAUAGAUCACAACAUGUCCCUAGUGAGCCUCUAGUUAACUAGCUCGUUGAUCAAUAGAUGGUUAUGGUUUUCUGACCAUGGACAUUGAAUGUCAUUGAUAACGGGAACACAUCAUUAGGAGAAUGAUGUGAUGGACAAGACCCAAUCCUAAGCAUAGCACAAGAUCAUGUAGUUCGUUUGCUAAAGCUUUUCUAAUGUCAAGUAUCAUUUCCUUAGACCAUGAGAUUGUGUAACUCCCGGAUACCGUAGGAGUGCUUUGGGUGUACCAAACGUCACAACGUAACUGGGUGACUAUAAAGGUGUACUAAAGGUAUCUCCGAAAGUGUUUGUUGGGUUGGCACGAAUCGAGACUGGGAUUUGUCACUCCGUAUGACGGAGAGGUAUCUCUGGGCCCAGUCGGUAAUGCAUCAUCAUAAUGAGCUCAAUGUGACUAAGUAGUUAGUCACGGGAUCAUGCAUUACGCAACGAUUAAAGUGACUUGUCGGUAACGAUGAACGAGGUAUUGGGAUACCGACGAUCGAUACUCGGGAAAGUAACGUACCGAUUGACAAAGGGAAUUGUAUGCGGGAUUGCUUGAAUCCUUGACAUCGUGGUUCACCCAAUGAGAUCAUCGUGGAACAUGUGGGAGACAACAUGGGUAUCCAGAUCCCGUUGUUGGUUAUUGGCCGGAGAGAUGUCUCGGUCAUGUCUGCAUGAUUCCCGAACCCGUAGGGUCUACACACUUAAGGUUCGGUGACGCUAGAGUUGGUAUGGGAAAUAGUAUGUGGUUACCGAAGGUUGUUCGGAGUUAUGGAUGAGAUCCCGGACGUCACGAGGAGUUCUGGAAUAGUAUGGAGGUGAAGAUUUAUAUAUUGGAAGUCCAGUUUCAGUCGUCGGAAUGGUUUCGGGGAUUAUCGGUAUUGUACCGGGACCAUCGAAAAGUGUCCGGAGGUCCACCGGGUGGGGCCACCUGCCCCGGGGGACUUAAUGGGUUGAAUGUGGGAGGGAACCAUCCCCCUAGUGGGCUUGUGCUCCCCUCCCCAAGGGCCCAAGGUGCCUAGGGUUGGAAACCCUAGGGGAGGGGGGCGCCUCCACCUUGCUUGGGGGGCAAGCCUCCGCUCCUGGCUGCCCCCCACCCUCUAGAUGGGAUCUAGAGGGGUCGGGCCCCUCUCCCCUUCACCCUAUAAAUAGAGGGGGGUGGGAGGGCUGCAGCAACCUUGCUUUUGGCGCAGACCCUCCCUCCUCCAACUCUUUCUCCUCCUCCGUAGUGCUUGGCGAAGCCCUGCAGGAAUACCACGAGCUCCACCACCACCAUGCCGUCGUGUUGUCGGAGUUAUCCCUCAACUUCUCCUCUCCCCUUGCUGGAUCAAGAAGGAGGAUACAUCCCCGGGCUGUACAUGUGUUGAACGUGGAGGCGCCGUCCAUUCGGCGCUAGAUCGGAUCUUCCGCGAUUUGAAUCGCUGCGAGUACGACUCCAUCAACCGCGUUCUUGUAACGCUUCCGCUUAGCGAUCUUCAAGGGUAUGAAGAUGCACUCCCUCUCUCUCUUGUUGCUAGAAUCUCCAUAGAUUGAUCUCGGGGAUGCGUAAAAAAAUUUGAAUUUCUGCUACGUUCCCCAACAGUGGCAUCAAAGCUAGGUCUAUUGCGUAGAUUCUAUGCACGAGUAGAACACAAAUAGUUGUGGGUGUUGGUUUUGUUGAAUAUGCUUACCGUUACUAGUCCUAUCUUGUUUCGACGGUAUUGUGGGAUGAAAUGGCCCGGACUGACCUUACACAUACACUUACAUGAGACAGGUUCCACCGUCUGACAUGCACUUGUUGCAUAAGGUGGCUAGCGGGUGCUAGUCUCUCCCACUUUAGUCGGAUCGGAUUCGAUGAAAAGGGUCCUCAUGAAGGGUAAAUAGCAAUUGGCAUAUCACCGUUGUGGCUUUGCGUAGGUAAGAAACAUUCUUGCUAGAAACCUAUAGCAGCCAUGUAAAAACUUGCAACAACAAUUAGAGGACGUGUAACUUGUUUUUGCAGCAUAUGCCGUGUGAUGUGAUAUGGCCAAAAGGAUGUGAUGAAUGAUAUAUGUGAUGUAUGAGAUUAAUCAUGUUCUUGUAAUAGGAAUCACGACUUGCAUGUCGAUGAGUAUGACAACCGGCAGGAGCCAUAGGAGUUGUCUUAAUUUAUUGUAUGACCUGCGAGUCAUUAAACAACGCCAUGUAAUUACUUUACUUUAUUGCUAACCUUUAGCCAUAGUAGUACAAGUAAUAGUUGGCGAGACAACUUCAUGGAGACACGAUGAUGGAGAUCAUGGUGUCAUGCCAGUGAUGAAGGUGAUCAUGCCGCGCUUCAAAGAUGGAGAUCAAAGGCGCAAGAUGAUAAUGGCCAUAUCAUGUCACUUUAUGAUUUGCAUGUGCUGUUUAUCAUGUUUACAUCUUAUUUGCUUAGAACGACGGUAGCAUAAACAAGAUGAUCCCUCACUAAAAUUUCAAGAAAGUGUUCCCCCUAACUGUGCACCAUUGCGAAAGUUCGUUGCUUCGAAGCACCACGUGAUGAUCGGGUGUGAUAGAUUUUUAACGUUCGCAUACAACGGGUGUAAGCCAGAUUUACACAUGAAAAACACUUAGGUCGACUUGACGAGCCUAGCAUGUAUAGGCAUGGCCUCGGAACACAAGAGAUCGAAAGGUCGAACAUGAGUCGUAUAGUAGAUACGAUCAACAUGAAGAUGUUCACCGAUGAUGACUAGUCCGUCUCACGUGAUGAUCGGACACGGCCUAGUUGACUCGGAUCAUGUAUCACUUAGAUGACUAGAGGGAUGUCUAUCUGAGUGGGAGUUCAUUAGAUGAACUUAGUUAUCCUGAACAUAGUCAAAAGGUCUUUGCAAAUUAUGUCGUAGGUCACGCUUUAGUUCUACUGUUUAAGAUAUGUUCCUAGAGAAAAUUUAGUUAAAAGUUGACAAUAGCAAUUAUGCGGAUUGGGUCCGUAUACUGAAGAUUGUCCUCAUUGCUGCACAGAAGGAUUAUGUCUUUAAUGCACCGCUCGGUGUGCCAAACCUCGAGCAUUGUCUGUGGAUGUUGCAAACAUCUGACAUACACGUUUUGAUGACUACGUGAUAGUUCAGUGCGUAAUGUUAAAGGGUUUAGAAUUGAGGCACCAAAGACAUUUUUGAAACGUCGCGGAACAUAUGAGAUGUUCCAAGAGCUGAAACUGGGAUUUCAGGCUCGUGCUCAUGUCAAGAGGUGUGAGACCUCCGGCAAGUUUCUUAGCCUGCAAACUAAGGGAGAAAAGCUCAAUCGUUGAGCAUGUGCUCAGACUGUCUAAGUACUACAAUCACUUGAAUUGAGUGGGAGUUAAUCUUCCAUAUGAGAUAGUGAUGGUUCUCCAAAGUCACUGCCACCAAGCUACUAGAGCUUCGUGAUGAACUAUAACAUAUCAGGGAUAGAUAUGAUGAUCCUUGAGCUAUUCGCGAUGUUUGACACCACGAAAGUAGAAAUCAAGGAGCAUCAAUUGUUGAUGGUUAGUGAAACCACUAGUUUCAAGAAGGGCAAGGGCAAGAAGGGAUACUUCAUGAAAUGGCAAAUCAGUUGCUGCUCUAGUGAAGAAACCCAAGGUUGAACCCAAACCCGAGACUAAGUGCUUCUGUAAUAAGGGGAACGGUCACUGGAGCAGAAUUGCCCUAGAUACUUGGUAGAUAAGAAGGCAGGCAAGGUCGACAGAAGUAUAUUGGAUAUACAUUAUAUUAAUGUGUACUUUACUAGUACUCCUAGUAGCACCAUGGUAAUAGAUACCGGUUCAGUUGCUAAGUGUUAGUAACUCGAAAUAAAAGGCUAAUAAAUAAACGGAGACUAGCUAAAGGCGAGGUGACGAUAUGUGUUGGAAGUAUUUCCAAGGUUGAUGUGAUCAAACAUCGCACACUCCCUCUACCAUCGGGAUCGGUGUUAAACCUAAAUAAUUGUUAUUUAGUGUUUGCGUUGAGCAUAAACAUGAUUGGAUUAUGUCUGUCGCAAUACGGUUAUUCAUUUAAGGAGAAUAAUGGUUACUCUGUUUAUUUGAAUAAUACCUUCAAUGGUCUUGCACCUAAAAUGAAUGGUUUAUUGAAUCUCGAUCGUAGUGAUACACAUGUUCGUGCCAAAAGAUAUAAGAUAGUAAUGAUAGUACCACCUGCUUGUGGCACUGCCAUUUGAGUCAUAUUGGUAUAAAACGCAUGAAGAAGCUCCAUGUUGAUGGAUCUUUGGACUCACUCAUUUUUGAAAAGAUUGAGACAUGCGAACCAUGUCUAUUGGUAUAUACGCAUGAAGAAACUCCAUGCAGAUGGAUCGUUUGGACUCACUUGAUUUUGAAUCACUUGAGUCAUGCAAAUCAUACCAUAUGGGCAAGAUGACUGAAAGGCCUCAUUUUCAAUGAAAUGGAACAAGAAAGCAACUUGUUGGAAGUAAUACAUUUUGAUGUGUGCAGUCCAAUGAGUGCUGAGGCACGUAGUGGAUAUCGUUAUGUUCUUACUUCAUAGAUGAUUUGAGUAGAUGCUAAGUAUAUUUACUUGAUGAAACACAAGUCUGAAUUAUUGAAAGGUUCAAGUAAUUUCAGAGUGAAGUUGAAGAUCAUCGUGAAAAGAGGAUAAAAUGUCUAUGAUAUGAUCAUAGAGAUGAAUAUCUGAGUUACGUGUUUGGUACACAAUCAAGACAUUGUGGAAAUUAUUUCACAACUAAUACCGCUUGGAACACCAUAGUGUGAUGGUGUGUCUGAACAUCAUAGAUGCACCCUAUUGGAUAUGGGGCAUACCAUGAUGUCUCUUAUCGAAUUACCACUAUCGUUUAUGGAUUAGGCAUUAGAGACAACCGCAUUCACUUUAAUAGGGCACCAUAUAAUUCCGUUGAGAUGACAUCGUGUGAACUAUGGUUUAGAGAAACCUAAGCUGUCGUUUCUUGAAAGUUUGGGGCUGUGACGCUUAUGUGAAAAGGUUUCAGCCAAGCUCGAACCCAAAGCGGAUAAAUGCAUCUUCAUAGGACACCCAAAAACAAUUGGGUAUACCUCCUAAUUCAGGUCCGGAAGCAAAAGUGAUUGUUUCUAGAAACGGGUCCUUUCUCGAGGAAUAGUUUCUCUCGAAAGAAUUGAGUGGGAGGAUGGUGGAGACUUGAUAAGGUUAUUGAACCAUCACUUCAACCAGUGUGUAGUAGGGCACAUGAAGUUGUUCCUGUGGCGCCUACACCAAUUGAAGUGGAAGCUGCUGAUAGUGAUCAUGAAACUUCGGAUCAAGUCACUACCAAACCUCGUAGGUCGACAAGGACGCGUACUGCUUAUUUCAGAGUGGUACGUAAUCCUGUCUUGGAGGUCAUGUUGCUAGACAACAAUGAGCCUACGAGCUAUGGAGAAGCUAUGGUGGGCCCGUAUUCCGACAAAUGGCUAGAGGCCAUAAAAUCCGAGAGAGGAUCCAUGUAUGAAAACAAAGUGUGGACUUUGGAAGAACUACUUGAAGGUCGUAAGCUGCUGGGUACAGAUGGAUUUCAAAAGGAAGACGAACAAUGAUGGUAGGUGCCACCAUUAAGAAAGCUCUACUUGUUGCUAAGAUAUUUUCCGACAAGUUUAAGGAGUUGACUACAAUGAGACUUUCUCACUUGUAGCGAUGCUAAGAGUCUGUUGAAAUUGUAUUAGCAGUUACUGCAUUAUUUAUGAAAUCUUGCAGAUAGGAUGUCAAUACAUUGUUUCCUCGACGAGUUGCUUGAGGAAAGGUUGUAUGUGAUACAACCAGAAGGUUUGGUCAAUCCUAAAAGAUGCUAACAAGUAUGCAAAGCUCCAGCAAUCCUUCUAAGGACUGGAGUAAGCAUCUCGGAGUUGGAAUACAUGCUUUGAUGAGAUAAUCAAAGAUUUUAGGUUUAUACAAAGUUUAUGAGAAACUUGUAUUUCCAAAGAAGUGAGUGGGAGCACUAUAGAAUUUCUGAUAAGUAUAUGUUGUUGACAUAUAGUUGAUCGGAAAUGAUGUAGAAUUUCUGGAAAGCAUAUAGGGUUAUUUGAAAAGUGUUUUCCAAUAAAAACCUGGAUUAAGCUACUUGAACUUUGAGCAUCAAGAUCUAUAAGGAUAGAUCAAAAACACUUAAUAGUAUUUUCAAAUGAAUACAUACCGUGACAAGAUUUUGAAGGAGUUCAAAAUAGAUCAGCAAAGAAGGAGUUCUUGGCUGUGUUAUAAGGUGUGAAUAUUGAGUAAGACUCAAGACAUGACCACGGCAGAAGAGAGAGAAAGUACGAAGGUCGUCCCCUAUGCUUCAGACGUAGGCUCUGCAGUAUGCUAUGCUGUGUACCGCACCUGAAGUGUGCCUUGCCAUGAGUCAGUCAAGGGGUACAAGAGUGAUCCAGGAAUGGAUCACAGGACAGCGGUCAAACUUAUCCUUAGUAACUAGUGGAGUAAGGAAUUUUCUCGAUUAUGGAGGUGGUAAAAGAGUUCGUCAUAAAGGGUUACGUUGAUGCAAACUUUGAUACUAAUCUGGAUGACUAUGAGUAGUAAACCCGAUUCAUAUAGCGGAACAGUUAUUUGGAAUAGUUCCAAAUAGCGCGUGGCAGCUGCAUCUACAAGAUGACAUAGAGAUUUGUAAAACACACAGGGAUCUAAAAGGUUCAGACCCGUUGACUAAUAACCUCUCUCACAAGCGAGAUAUGAUCAAACCCCAUGGGUGUUGAAUUCAUUACAAUCACAUAGUGAUGUGAACUAGAUUAUUGACUCUAGUGCAAGUGGGAGACUGUUGGAAAUAUGCCCUAGAGGCAAUAAUAAAAUGGUUAUUAUUGUAUUUCCUUGUUCAUGAUAAUUGUCUAUUGUUCAUGCUAUAAUUGUAUUAACUGGAAACUGUAAUACAUGUGUGAAUACAUAGACCACAACAUGUCCCUAGUGAGCCUCUAGUUGACUAGCUCGUUGAUCAAUAGAUGGUUAUGGUUUUCUGACCAUGGACAUUGUAUGUCAUUGAUAACGGGAUCACAUCAUUAGGAGAAUGAUGUGAUGGACAAGACCCAAUCCUAAGCAUAGCACAAGAUCGUGUAGUUCGUUUGCUAAAGCUUUUCUAAUGUCAAGUAUCAUUUCCUUAGACCAUGAGAUUGUGUAACUCCUAGAUACCGUAGGAGUGCUUUGGGUGUACCAAACGUCACAACAUAACUGGGUGACUUUAAAGGUGUACUACAGGUGUCUCCGAAAGUGUUUGUUGGGUUGGCACGUAUCGAGACUGGGAUUUGUCACUCCGUAUGACGGAGAGGUAUCUCUGGGCCCACUCGGUAAUGCAUCAUCAUAAUGAUCUCAAUGUGACUAAGUAGUUAGUCACGGGACCAUGCAUUAUGCAACGAGUAAAGUGACUUUCCAGUAACGAGAUUGAACAAGGUAUUGGGAUACCGACGAUCGAAUCUCGGGCAAGUAACGUAUCGAUUGACAAAGGGAAUUGUAUACGGGAUUGCUUGAAUCCUUGACAUCGUGGUUCAUCUGAUGAGAUCAUCGUGGAACAUGUGGGAGCCAACAUGGGUAUCCAGAUCCCGCUGUUGGUUAUUGGCCGGAGAGAUGUCUCGGUCAUGUCUGCAUGAUUCCCGAACCCGUAGGGUCUACACACUUAAGGUUCGGUGAUGCUAGAGUUGUUAUGGGAAAUAGUAUGUGGUUACCGAAGGUUGUUCGGAGUCCCGGAUGAGAUCCCGGAUGUCACGAGGAGUUCCGGAAUAGUCCGGAGGUGAAGAUUUAUAUACAAGAAGUCCAGUUUCAGUCGCCGGAAUGGUUUCGGGGGUUAUCGGUAUUGUACCGGGACCACCGAAAGGUGUCCGGAGGUCCACCGGGUGGGGCCACCUGCCCCGGGGGACUUAAUGGGCUGAAUGUGGGAGGGAACUAGCCCCCUAGUGGGCUUGUGCGCCCCUCCCCAAGGGCCCAAGGCGCCUAGGGUUGGAAACCCUAGGGGAGGUGGGCGCCUCCACCUUGCUUGGGGGGCAAGCCUCCCCUCCUGCCCCCCCCCCCUCUAGAUGGGAUCUGGAGGGGCCGGGCCCCUCUCCCCUUCACCCUAUAAAUAGAGAGGGGUUGGAGGGCUGCAGCACCCUUGCUUUUGGCGCAGCCCCUCCCUCCUCCAACUCUUUCUCCUCCUCCGUAGUGCUUGGUGAAGCCCUGCACGAAUACCACGAGCUCCACCACCACCAUGCCUUCGUGUUGUUGGAGUUCUCCCUCAACUUCUCCCCUCUCCUUGCUGGAUCAAGAAGAAGGAGACGACCUCGGGAUGUACAUGUGUUGAACGCGGAGGCGCCGUCCGUUCGGCGCUAGAUCGGAUCUUCCGCGAUUUGAAUCGCCGUGAGUACGACUCCAUCAACCGUGUUCUUGUAAUGCUUCCGCUUAGCCAUCUUCAAGGGUAUGAAGAUGCACUCCCUCUCUUUCUCUCUCUUGUUGCUAGAAUCUCCAUAGAUUGAUAUUGGUGAUGCGUAGAAAAUUUUGAAUUUCUGCUAUGUUCCCCAACACCGGCAUGGGCGAAGCACACUGUCAAAUUCCUCCAAGUAGGAGAGCUUCCUGAGGAGCAGGAAGAGGCAGAAAGAGUAGCCCGCCGGUCUGCUCUGUACCAAUUCGUUGACAACAUUUUGUACAGAAGGAGACCAAAUGGGGUGAAAUUGAAGUGCAUCUCCCGAGAGGAAGGACUAGAGCUGUUGGCAGAAAUACACGGAGGCAUAUGUGGCUCCCACAUAGGGUCGGGGGCCCUUGCCGGCAAGGCUUUACAGCAAGGUUUCUUCUAGCCCACCGCCCUCCAGGAUGCGACGGCACUAGUAACCAAGUGUGAAGCGUGCCAGUUCCAUUCAAAGAAGCUUCAUCAACCAGCUCAAGCCCUUCAAACCAUCCCUCUCUCCUGGCCCUUCUCAGUCUGGGGCUCGACAUAUUGGGCCCCUUCCCCCGUGUCGUCGAGGGCUUUGAGUACUUGUACGUUGCAAUCGACAAGUUCACAAAGUGACCAGAGGUGGAAGCAGUGAGGAAGGUGACAACGCAGUCAGCCGUCAAGUUCUUCAAUGACUAGUUUGCCGUUUUGGGGUACCCAAUAGGAUCAUCACCGACAACGGCACAAAAUUCACAAGCCAUGCCUUCAUGCAAUACGUUGAAGAUCUCGGCAGCAAAGUCUGUUUUUCCUCCAUGGCACACCCAUGGAGCAACGGCCAAGCAGAGAGAGCCAAUGCUGAAGUUCUGUGAGGCUUAAGAACAAAGACUUUCAACAGGCUGCGCAAGAGUGGAAGGCGCUGGAUUGACGAGUUGCCGGUGGUUCUUUGGUCGACCAGAACGAUGCCAAAUCGAGCCACCGGCCAGACACCCUUUGCCCUGAUCUACGGGGCAAAAGCAGUUCUCCCCACAGAAAUCAUAUACGGGUCACCUCAAGUGCUCGCUUAUGAUGAGCUUGUGCAAGAGCGACUGCGGCAGGAUGACGCGACGCUCCUUGAGGAAGAUCGUCUCCGGGCGGCUGUGAGAGCAGCACGCUACCAGCAAGCCUUGCACCGCUACCAUAGCCGCAAGGUUCAUGCCAGGAGAUUUGAGGAAGGCAACCUUGUUCUUCGGCACAUUCAGUCGGCCAAGAAUUCCAACAAGUUGACGCCAAAGUGGGAAGGCCCUUAUCGGGUAACACAAGUCACCAGGCCCGGCGCAGUCCGCCUGGAGAUCGAAGAUGCCAUUCCAGUGAGCAACUCCUGGAACAUCGAGCAUCUUCGCAAGUUUUACCCAUAAGGCACGGUUGCCGGGCCUCCCGGCAAGCCACCCUUUUGUACAAGCCUUGCCGGGAAGGCAUGUAACCCUUUGUACAAAGCCAGGCGCAGACCUUGAGCACUAAUAAACGAAGCACUGGCGCCUUAAGUUAUAGUAUGCAUGCUAGGUUGAGUCUCCUCCUCGGUUAGGGUUGAUAGUGCUUAGCAGCGGCUAACCCCUAGCUUAGAGGUCGAGUGCACGUCUCUCUGUUCUUCUCUGUCCUCUUUGGUUUGCAGGACACAUAAGCAUUUCCACUGAGCUGUUUGGGAGAAGGGAACGGACCGGUGCCCCGACCCCGGCAAGCCAAAGUUGUCGGGGGCUGCAAAUACAAGUAUCCGUCCGCGGCAAGCCAAGAUUGCCGGGGGCUGCAGAUCCAGAUAAGUCUUUUAUCGUCUAUCAUGCAUUUCGUUAUGGACUGGGAUAUGUUAAACCUCGUUUAUCUCUAGGCUACCGUGCUCCAUCUUUCCAUACCCAGGGAUUAUCUCUUGCGUCCGAAGUUGGUCGUAGCCGCAGAAGCAAGGGAAUAGAACGAGGAGCCUAAACCCACCUCGUCCCUGCCUCUGCCAAGAGUGUGAGAAAGGUCGAGCAAAAUGGGGGAACGGCAAGGCCUGUUUCCGGGCGAAAAAUGUUUAUCUUGGAUGGUAACGAGGAUUCACUCCUUGUCGUGGGUUUCACCCGCGAACGAAAAACCCGACAAACUUCCCUUUUCAUUAAAAACGUCCCGUACAGGUAAAGUUCAUACGGAAUGAAAAACAUGAACAGGGGGAUUACAAGUUCUAAAUCUAAUAAAGGCCCGAAGGCUUACAAGACUAAAAAGAGAUAAGGUGCCCGUGAUCCCUUUCUUGUCCCUCUCCUCAGGAAAUGGAACAAGAAGGCAAAAGGGCAAAAGGGGCGCCUAGGCGAGGUAUGAGCAGCAGAAGGCACCAGGAGAACAUCCCGGUGGCCACCGUGAAGAGAGGCUGGUGAUGAUGAUGACGGGAGAAGAGCUAGAAGACGAGGCAGCAGGACCGUCAAUACGCUACGAAGGCGUCGGUGCCCGCGUACUCCGACUUGACAGCCUUGCCGCCUGCCCUCUUCCUCUUCCACAGCCUCCCAACGCCAGCCGCCCAAGGAGACGACCCCGAGAAAUUCAAGGAGCCAGCGACGCGGAUGAUGGAGUCGUCGGUGCUGCCCCGGAGCGGCGCGCCCAGCGCCUAGUUGGACCCGUCUUCCUGCCGCUCUCUACCCUCGUUGUCGCUGCCGCUGUCCUCCCCGUCACUCUCGCUCGAGGAAGAAUCUUCAUCGUCGGAGGAGCUCUCCACGCAGCACCUUACGUGAGUCCCAAAGAGCCCGAAGAUCUUGACGGAGAGGAGGCCACUCUCCAUUAAUUUGAAAUGGAGAGUGAGCCCCUCCGUCAAGCUGUGGACGCGGGCAAAGGACUUCCACCCUCGACGGAGAUACAUGACGUGAGGGGCGGGAAACUCGACAUCAGCCCAUGUGCCGCUGUUCCCGCAACCCCUCAUAUGCAGCCGCAACGCCUGCGAUGGAUCCAGCUCCAUCUCCCGUGCAAACGGAGUCGGAAGGUGAAGACGACAGCGCGGUGGCUAGCACAGCCUGAUGAAGAACUCGCAAGGGUUGUCCCUGACGUGGCCCUCCACCGGAUGAGGGGCCGCUGGCGGAGGCGAAGCCAAUCUGCCACCCCGUCCUCCUCUCCCUCGAGCGCCACGGCGGCCUCGACCUCGCCCCCUCCCCCUCCCUCUAACGAGUGGCUCCGCAACUACGAGCUCUUGGGGAGGAGCGAUGCGUUGUCGAGCCGAGACCCUCGCCGCCACCGAUGAAGCGUCGCCACGCCCCCUCGCCAUGACAGAAGGAAGGAGAAAGCGAGAAUGGGGAGAAGCAGAUGACGGAGGAUUGAGAGGCGCCGCUCCUCCCGCUCCCCUCUUUAUAAAGGGGCGAGGGCGAGGCUCGGCCGCCCCUCUCGACCAAUCCGGCCCAUUGAGGCGACCACGGGCGGGGCCGUCGACCGCCCUCCCCGCUCAAUUGAAGGCGCGUGGGAAUCGGCCCGCACGCGCGCGACUUCCUGUAUCCUGCGCGCCUGUCAUUCGCUCUGCAUCAUGCAUGCAGCGAACGUGGCACGAAGGACGGGCGCAAUGGGACGUGUGGGGCGGCGGUUCUCGAGUAAGGGCAGUAAAUGAGCAGCGGCCCUGCGGUCUCGAAGAGACACGCGAGCCGCCUCUUUACUGUCCACCACAAGAUGACGCCAGCAUGCUUCGGUCACACACGCACGCAAGACCCCCAUGUCACGCAUUCAACGCGGGUCGUGGGGAAGCGCAGCGGACGGAACAGUUACCGCGGUAAAAUCUGCCCCGCCUGCCCGCGCACCGUUCUGGGCCUGGCCCAACAACGUGUCGUGCUUAUGUAUGGCCCAGGCCCGGGGGCUCUUGCCGGUGUACAAAAGUAGGGGCUCUUCUUUUGACCCCUUUAUUUGUGCACGGGCAGUCAGGGCCAUCCACCACGGCCACGCAUAACAGGGCAAGGGAGGGAAGCCAGAGAGAAGCCAAAGGCACGAAGCAAACAAAGCAACAUCAAGGACCAAGGCCACAGAGACAGGAUGGGCGAAGCAAGUUUCCCUGGCAAGGACUCUUGCCGGGGCAGCUCGCCCACACCAACGGAGCAAGCCACCUUCGAGCCCACCAUCUCCAACACCAACAAACACAUUGGGACAUGACUCAGGAGGCACCUCCAUGGUGGCAUGCAGAUCUUUGUGAAGACAAAAGAUAUUCAAGAUCAGAUGAGAAUUGGAAGGCAACGAUCCUCGGCAGGGUUCUUGCCGAGGAAACCUACAAGACCCCCGGCAAGGUCCUUGCCGGGGACAACAGCGCGCCACGCCAAGACCCUUGCCGGGCCACCCGGCAAGACCUUUGCCAAGGGCGCCAGCGGGGCCACUGCCAGGCCCACACCAGCCAAGCCUCCGCCGCAGUUCGCAUGCAGCUGCCGACCCAACCAGCUGGGCAGGCACCUGCGUGGCAGCAUGCAGCCCUUCGUGGAGGCUCCACCACCGCGCCAUCUCAGCUUCUUAUCUGCCUACAUGGCACCGCAUGCAUCGCUGGCCAGGGCGCGUGUCAAAGCAACGAGGAGCGGCGACGAACGAGAUGGGCCUCGCCCCCGUCCCCGAUAAAGUGAAGGGACACCUAAGCCACACAUUAAAUGCGUCUUGUCCUGUAAUACGGGCGAUAAGCUCGCAGCGCUGUAGAACUUUCCACCUCCUGUGUGCCACUGUGGCAGCCCCUUUCACCUGUAAAAGGAGGCCUAUUGCGCACUGGAAAAGGAUUCGGCUCUUUGGAACCAGGCAGCACCCAUAGCUAGUUCGAGAGCUCAAGAACACUGAAUAUAUCCACCAAAGCAGGAUUGUAGGGUUUUACGCAUCCUUGCGGCCCGAACCUGGGUAAACUAUCUUUGUGUUGAUUACUAGUCCUGCUCUUCUCACAACUCCGCGCCCCGCAACCGUAGUAGGGAUUCUUGUGAUCCCAUAGGUGUCGUUUCCCACCGAGAACCAUAAAAAUAUUAUAUUCAACCAUUUGGCUUAAAAUAGGUUAAAAUUGUAAAGAAAUGCGAACAUAAAAAUAUGAUAGAGAUAUCCAACCAGGAGUACAUGGUAUUUUAGUUCUAUCGGAUUUGCUAAUUCUCGGUCGAUUGAGAUUUAGUUAAAUUUAGUCGUCACUAGAGUAUCAUCCAUCACAACGUGCAAGUUUUAAUAUUUUUCUGAGCUUUGAAAACAAACACUAUAGUUUAAAGAAAUAUAGCACGGUUAUAUUUUUUGUGGGUUGUAUGAACAAAUUUUUGUGCAAUCGACUGGGAAUCAAUCAUUUUAAUUUUGCGUGUUAGAGGGCUGAGCACCCCUUGUUCUGCUCCUACCCACACGGCCACACCUAGUGUGGUGCCUCCCUCUUCUCUAUGUUCUCUCCUACCUAUCAACGAAAAAUGCACAAUCUUUGUGUAUUCGUGACAAAAAGGUCGUUACUUAGAUUAUAGUAUAAACUGCACUUUCUUGUAGGAAGUAUAAACUGCAUUUUUUAGCAUUAUUCGUGUCAGUUUCACUUUGCACCAUUGCAUAUGUCCAGACCUUGCACUUAACACCAGCCACAUGUUCGAAUUAUACACUACGGUAACCAGUCAAAGAAAAACAUGAAUUAGGCACUUUGGAUCAGGUAACAUAGUUUAGUCACAAAAAAGCACAGAUCCACUCUUUUCGCACGACCCCAGAAAAUGUCUAGAUCGAUCUUGACAUCAACACAACCCAAUCACCUCUCACUAAGGAGAUUGCCAGUUAUCCAUAGCCACAAGUGCAUCUGAUCCUCUCGCUGCACCAAUGGCAUCACAGCUACCGAUUUCUUUCUGUCCAUCUCCUUCUUGUGAGCUAGCGUACACCAGGCAAUCUCCCCCGUGGCCUCUGCUCGCUGCUGCCUUAAAUAGGCCCCUCCUUCUGUUCUGUUCUCUCAAGCCAUCUCACACUCCAGCCCCCCUCUCUCUCUCGGACAACUCCGAUCAGCAGAGCAAUGGCGGCCACCACCAUGUCCCUUUCCUCCUCAGCAUUUGCUGGCAAGGCAGUGAAGAUUGUGUCAUUGUCGACUCUCUUCGGUGAGGAACGUGUCACCAUGCGCAAGACUGCGGCAAAGGCAAAGCAAGUUGCCUCUAGCAGCCCGUGGUACGGGGCUGACCGCGUGCUCUACCUCGGCCCGCUAUCAGGUGAGCCACCGAGCUAUUUGACCGGUGAGUUCCCUGGUGACUAUGGGUGGGAUACCGCCGGGCUCUCAGCUGACCCCGAGACCUUCGCCAAGAACCGUGAGCUGGAGGUGAUCCACUGCCGAUGGGCUAUGCUUGGCGCGCUCGGUUGUGUCUUCCCUGAGUUGCUCGCCCGCAAUGGUGUCAAGUUUGGCGAGGCUGUUUGGUUCAAGGCUGGCUCCCAAAUCUUCAGCGAGGGCGGCCUCGACUAUCUCGGCAACCCCAGCCUCGUCCACGCGCAAAGCAUCCUGGCCAUUUGGGCUUGCCAAGUUGUGCUCAUGGGCGCUGUCGAGGGGUUCCGCAUUGCCGGUGGCCCACUCGGCGAGAUUGUUGACCCGCUUUACCCUGGAGGCAGCUUUGACCCGCUCGGCCUAGCCGAUGACCCUGAGGCGUUCGCGGAGCUCAAGGUGAAAGAGAUCAAGAACGGCCGCCUUGCCAUGUUCUCCAUGUUUGGCUUCUUUGUGCAGGCCAUUGUCACAAGCAAAGGACCGCUAGAGAACCUCGCUGACCAUAUCACCGAUCCCGUCAACAACAAUGCAUGGGCAUUUGCCACCAACUUCGUGCCCGGCAAGUAAGACACCUACUAGGGCUGAGUUGAGAGCUGGCGGGGUGGUCUGAUAUGUACUACCAUGAUGUAAAUUAUAAGGAUCCGUGCAAAUGCAUUGUUUGAUUCAUCGAUAUUCAUCUUCUUUUUUUCUUAUGAUGAUAUUCAUCUUCAUGUCCCGCUUCUAGCUACUUGUAGUGAUCACCUGGACAAUUGGGUUUAUUUAAUU